UCUCUUUUGUGGUAUUUCUGGAUCCUUAACAAGGCAGUGAUGGUAUAUGCCCUCUCUCAAAAUAUAUAGUAUUUGUGGUAUAAAGCAUAGUGACAUUGCCUUCUCUCUCACCCUACUAUAAUAAAGCUUUUGAUAUCUGGAGCUCGUAGGUGGGAGAUAGCUAAUACAUACUUACAAGACAUUUAUUGCAUAGUCAAACCAUGGAUCCAGAGAAACAAGUCAAUAAGUCAAAUCAAGAUGUGCAUGUGUGGCGAAUGAAUGGUGUAUGGUGAUGAUGGUGAUAACAAUGGUGAAAGUCUAAUUCUAUUUUUGCUCUUUUAAGGGGAUACAUACCUUUCUUGCACUUUGAAACUUAUUGGGGAGAAUGAGAUGCUCUAUAUUUUCUUUUUCUUUCCUCUCAGGUGGGUAUCUUGUACCCCUAAUUCUACUAUCGGACACUUGUCCAUUUUUACCUCUCGUCUCACUUUUUCUUUUCUUCAAGGUUCCGGGCACUUGCCCCUUUUUAUUUCCUCGUAUUAUAUAUAUAUAUAUUUUUCUCUCUUCUUUUUUUAGAGCACUCAUCUCCUGAAAGAAUGUAGCAAGUGGUAGUAACCAAAAUAACUGGAGCAUUUAUUUCACAGGGAAUAACAGGGAUAGGAAAAUGUUUUUGGCUAUUCUCUCCCGGAUUAGGAGUAGAAUAAUUUUGGGUGAAUGUGGAGAUGGAAAUGAGUGGAUGUAUGUGGAUGCGUACUUCCAGAGUAGAAGCAGCAUAUACGAGUGAACAUGCAAGUGAAUCUUGAUUUUAACCACAUGACAAGCUCCUCAUAAGCAGUAAAAAGUAAAUGUUUGGCUCAAAGUCUAAUAAGCAUGUAUAUAUGGCUGUGGUAGGAUUUUAAACUCUCAUCAUACAGGAACUCAUCAUGUGAUAUUUUAAAGAUUUUCAAAGAUAAAAUUCUCCAGAAUUCUAGCAUCUCUAGGAAUAGAUAAACAGCAGCUCAACCUUCCCAUAUCAUAUCCGUUAACGACUUAGACUUUAGAUCAAGUACUCUUCCCACAAGUUCAGGUUUAGAGCAGGUUUAAAUAAUAACAGUCAUGCCUAAACUUGAGAGAGAUUUCAAUUUUAAGAACUAGUCAUGGCAGAGCAACUAUUCAUUAUUUCAAUGUGAGAGCUUAUCAUGAGGGUUCAUAGCAAACUUUAUUUAUUUAUUUGUUUAGCAAACUAAGCAAAGAUAUAUAUAAAAGCACAAAAUCUUUAUUUGGGUCUUUUAUGAUUAUGCAUCUUUUUAUUAUUUGAGUAAAGUAUCAACGCGAGUAGAAACACUUAGCUGGAAAAAUGGGGGUGCUCUCCCCCAAGCUGGAUUUUGACGUAAUUUCUUCUGAUGUAGCAAGCAGGUGGUGGAGGUGUAUUCGAAAGUCGGCAGCACCCUGACAGCGAUUAGGAUGUCCUCCGUCUGCUAGUCUUCUUUGAUCCUUGAAUUCUGUGGAGCUCAAAUAGACAACAAAGCUUUGUGGAACUAGUUUUAGCAUAAAAUCUCUUUGCCUUUAUCAUGUUGAGCCUCCUUAAUAAAUGUUAUUUAUUUAGCAGGAUUAUGCACUUAUUAUUUUUAUAUUUUUAUUGUAAGAUGAAAACUUAUUUAUUUUAUUUUUAUGCUACCACAGUGAAUGUACUUAUGGGUUUUAUGCCAUGAGCAUACUCACAUGGGGCUUACUAUUUUUUUAACAUUUUUAUUUUCUUUUGAAGAUAGCAUGAACCUGAUUAACUAAGCAAACUAUUGAAUGGAAAAGGAUAACUACCAAGUUUACCUCUUGGCAAGGCGUUCGGUAUUUUUAAGUCCUCCGAAUGGGGCUCUCCGUUUUCUCAGUCGUCCUGGGAUUCGCUGGAUGGCGUAGUCGGUGGUUCCGGCGGCGCCUCCUCUUCGUGUAUAACUAUCUUCUCUUUCCACACCUGACUCGGUGCUACGGUCUCCUCGGGACAAUUCUGUUCAAGCUGUAUGUCUUCAGACCUUACUACUUCUCCUUCGUAGUCUGCCCAUCCGUCCUUGAUGAUUUGCCUCCUCUGGUUGUGGUUGCGUUGUCUUCUUCUUGUCCUGGCCUGCUUAGAGUCUUCAACUAUAUAGUUAGGGUCAGUAAAAUAGCGGUGUACCUUCUCAGAGGGGAAGUGCAUGUGGACUUCUCCGGUUCCAAUGUAGAUGAUAACUUUGAUAGUGUUGAGGAAUGGUCUUCCAAGGAUGAUGGGUGGAUCGUACUCGUCUUCUCCCAUGUCAUUGAUCUGAAAGUCAUCUGGAGCUGAAUAUAUAUUGGUUGUAGGGGCAUGGUUCCAUGCAGGAGCUGAUAAGUGACUGCGGCCAUUAUGUUGACGUUAGAUCCGGUGUCGUAGAGUGUCUUCUAAAAAGACUAUCUGUUGAUUGUGCACUUAAUGCUUGGAACACCAGGGUCGUCCUUCUUGAUCAAGAAAGGUGACUUGAGUCGACGAUCUUGACCUCCUCCGACAAGGAUCCAAAGUUUUAAAUCUUUUGGACAAGACUUCUCACUGUCUUCAUCCUUUAGGUGCAUCAUUUGAUUAGGUGUGGACCUUGACGUCUGCACUUCUUGAUAUGGUGUCACCUAUAUUCUUUGAUUGCCCAGCAGUUCGAAGUGCGGUGUUGGCAAUAUCCUGCUCAGUGUGUUUGUGCUCAUAGAUCCAGGUCCUUCACUUGGUGGAAUCUGGGAGUUGUAAAACUCCUCCAUGUUUUGCUUGAAGUGUACCUGCUCAUAAAGACAAGGCAGAGAUCAAGUGCAUGGGCCCUGUUGGUGGAAGACACCAACAGAACCAAAAGUGUAUUUGUUCUUCUCUAACCUUAAGCAUAGCGAGCAAGAAAAAGUUGAUGGAUCUUGAGUGUAGCAUUUGUCAGAUCAGAUGGCUCAACCUAAUGGAAAGAUAAUCUAUCUAUAUUUAUGUUUUGUUUAUAUCUUCCAAAGAUUGAAUGUGCAAUACUUUAGCUUAUAUGAUUAGGAGUGUGGGAUCACGAAGUUAGUACUAAGAACAAAGAUUAAAGGACUAAACAUGUUGAAUUAAUUGAGUUGGUUAAUUUGGAGUUACAGAUCAUACAUGUUUGUCUCUUUAUUUUGUGUGAAUGCCAGAACCAAGGAGAAGUUUAUAAAAGUGAUAGUCAAGUACCUUAAGGUGUUACCUUACUUGAAGAGUGAUGGUAUAAUAUCACCUUGUGGAAGCUUUCCUUUCUUAGCGGUUGUGCAUUGUGUUUGUGGCACCCUCCAUGAAUCAUCUCUUAUGAGCUACGUCUUUCUUGUGCAAAUUGUUAUACUUCAUGUGUCACUUUCUUCAUCUCCAAUGUGAGUUUAUCUCAGAACUUCCCAGGUUGAUAUUGAAAGUUUUCCUGCAGGGGUUAGUCCCACAAAAUAUACCAAUAUCUACUCAAGCAGUUUUUAGUUCAGUAACCAAACCAGACUCCAUGUCUAAUCAGAUUAAGGAAGGCUAUUUAACCUAAGCACCAUGCUUAAUUUAAAUGUCAAUGGAAGUAUGUCGAGUACUUCCAAACCAACACUUGCUAGUAAAUAGAUAAAGGUAGCAUGACAGCAUUUAUGAGAUCUACUCAAGUGGAGAUGAAGUAGUGUGAUUAGUAUUUAACAAAUUGAGCAUGUCUCAAAGGUAGGGAUAACCAACAUAGCAACAUGGCAAAGGUUGUUUUUAUGUAAAGUACUCCCCCAAGCUUGAAUUUUGCGAAAUUCAAGUUUGGAUGAAUUUAAUUCAAUGUUGUAUGAUGGUUGGUUGGACAUACCUUGUGCUUGUCAUUCAUCCGAUCUUCUUGCUCCAAUCCUAGAAAGGUUAGUGGCAAGAAUACCCGAAGGAAUAUUUCUACAAUUAUCUCAAUAUGCUCAAUACACGAGGAAAUGUUGCAAAUUCAUGUUUCGAUCUGAUAAGUGCUUGUUUAAGGAUGUUAAGCUUAUCCUUAGGAAACCAGCAAAUUAUGUCGGCGAAGUGGUUUCCCCUCUAACGCUGACCUAUAUCAAGAUCAACUCAACGAGAUCUGCAAUAUUUAUUAUAGACAUAUGCAUCGACAACUGCCCUUUUAAAGUUUUUAUAAAUAGAAAAGAAGAGGGGGUUGGAGAUCUCAAAUGUGGUGAUGUUGGAGAGACCAAUUGAUUGGGGAGAUGUUUUAUAUGAGCAAGGACAUGGUGAGGUAUUUAUGAAAUAACUUCCAUGCUCAAUGUUGUUUCUCUCAUUCUCAAACUCCAAGGAUGAUUCUUCAUGAAUGCUUAAAAUUCCUCUAGGAUUGUCUCUCAAGUUUGUUUUAUCUAUCCAUUCAAUGGUGAUAGCACAUGGAUUUUUAAUGCCCUCUAGCCAUCGAAGUUGCUCUUCUCGAUCCUCCUUGUGGUCUUGGUGACUCUUAUGCAUGGGAUGUCUAGAGAGAUUCAUAGGAUUAUCGGGAGGUUCAAGAGAAAGAGCAUAGUAGAAAUUAUUAAGCUCAAGGAUGGGUUGGAUAGCCGAAUUAUGGGAUUGAAAUGUUUGGAAAUCGGCUAUGGAAACUUCCUUUCCUCGUCUGGGAGAUGAUUCCUUCUCUAUCUCUAAGAUUUUUCUAUGAAGACUAGUAUAAGAAGGAUGUCCACGAAUGAAGACAUACCUUCCUUUACUAAUAGAUAAAGAAAGAAAGACUCUACCAAUGGUUAUAUAAUUAAGACCAAUGUAAAAAUAUCUAGGAAAAACAUGGUGUUGUAGGGCUAGGUUUAAACCAGAAUUUAUAGAAAGAUUAAAAGAUUCCUUAGGUGUAGCUAAAAGUUCAUUAUCUUCUUGAUUAAAAGAUAGGACGUCGGCUAUAGAAAAGGGUUGGUUUUGACCUAUUGCAAACAACUUCGGGCACAGAUCAUAAUUAGGGGCAGGACUUGUUGACUCCCAUGGUCUAUGGCUGGUCUCCGAAGGUACAAAAAAUUCAAUAAUAGGUAUGGAAUUUACGUUAUCCAUAAAGAUAAAAAUAAAAAGAUAAAAGAAUAAAAGUAUAAAAGUAUAAUACAAGAUAGUAGCAAGACUUAAAGUUAUCUCAGCAAACCGUCUUUCUCCCCGGCAACGGCGCCAGAAAUGCUUGUUGAUAUUUGGUAACGCAAUAAGGAAAUGAUCCGCAAGCGCAUGGAUAUCGGUGAGCAUUUCACCCGAGAGGUUAUCCAAAGUAUCGUAUUUAUAUUUUUACCACUGGGAGAAAGGGUGCAUCUGACUAACCAAAUCUAUUGCUACUAUCCCUUUAGGCUACAAAGAAUAUUUCUCGAUGUGAGUGAUGUAUAGAGAAGACUGCAACCGUAGUCUCGUCCUAACCUUGGUAAGGAUGAUCUACUGUUCUAUUGGGGAGGCUCACGGAAUCUAGACAACAUAAGGAUGUUCGACCCGCACCAUAAACCCUACCCGUCCUGCUAACAAGAUAUGGGAUGCAAAGGUAACUCGGAAAUGUCACGUUCCUCGCUACUACCACGGUCUAGCUAGUCAGGGGAUAUCUAUGAGUACCCUAGCCUAAACACCACGUUUACGCUAGCAAUGAUUACUCUAAUACUCAACCGGAAGAAGAUUAAAGUAAACUCAUAAACCAAACAACAAUAAAACAAGAACUUACUAGAAUUAGAAGUCGAAUUACUGAAGAAUCUUAGGAGCAAGCCUUGGGUUAGAAGACUUGAUCCCAUAGGUACAACUCGGAGUAGACACCGACAGGCCGGCCUUCCUCCGAUCUACACCUGCACUCUAUCUCUCUCAAUCUAGUCGAAACUAGAAGAUCUAUUUCUACUUUACAUUGGAUGCUAAGCCUAAAAAGAAAUAUUAUUUAGAGAAGAGGUUUUCCUUCGAGGGCACCCCUCAAUCUCUAUGAUAACUUCUUGUCUUCUCCAGGGGCCAGGGGGUCUUCUUAUAUAGUCCUCCUCCUCUAUGCGUUUUUGGGUCGGUAGGCGAUGUGUUACUACGUUAUCCUUGAUCCUUUAGGUCGGUGGAACAUCGUGUGCGAAGAGAGUCCCGAACGGAGUCUAGGACAGGGCGGGCGCCCAGGGAAAGAGGGCGGGCGCCCUGGGCCUGGCCCCUUUCGGCCUCUGCUUUCUUCCCGUGGCUUCUGGAGUCUUCUAGAUGGUAGAAAAUUACGCGGUGCGUUGAUAUCUCUAUGUAAUCCCGACAUGUGGGCCUUUCUUUUGUAUUUCCUGAUAACCCCCUGCAGAAAUAGACAAACACCAAAACUCGUGGAAUUCUGUCAGAUAAAACCCUAAGUCUAGGUGUUGGUUGCAUUUGGAUCCUUUUCUUUAUUUAUUUGAUGAUUAUAUUUGGUACUUAAGGACCGUCAACAGCAACGACGAACCCGACGAGCGCUCCAGGGAGCCACGGCCAGGCGCUGCGACUCCACCCAGUCCAGGGUACACGGCACCAGACGCUGCGUCCAUGGAGGCGGCGGCUGUCGGAGCGGGUGACUGUCUGCUAACGGAGGACAACCGAUAAUGUGCCUAGAUCAACCGGGUCGGCGAUCUAUCCAGAUGCAUCGGCUGGUGCUUCUUGUGGCUGGGGUACUAAUCGAGGGGGAGAAGGUACUUCCUGCGUUUAGGGCACUGGAUGAACUGGAGAAGGAGGUGUUGCCUAAAUCGGGGAUGCUGGACGAGGUGGAGAGGAUGGUGUUGUCUUCUAUCACUUUGGCUGGGUCUUGGUGCUCUUUGGACCCUUUCUCUUAGGUGGAGCUUGACUGGGCUAGGGGGCAUCGGCAUGUGAUGUUUGAGUGCUCUUGGUCUUUGCCGAUGUACCAGUCUGCUGUUACAAAAAACCAAAGUUUCAUAAGUUAGGUAUAAGAAAAGGUAUUGGUGGAGUUGUGCUAAAAAUAAAAUUUGGUGCAAAACAGAGUUACCGAUGAUGUUGCCGUUGCAGUCAAUGUACCCUAAAAAGAUAUUGUAAGUGUCUGAUGAAAUCAGUAUAAAUGGAGAGAAUUAAGAGUUUACCUUAAAGGCUUGUGCCACAGUGGCAGUAGCUACCGAUGGAGAAACUUUCGACCAUUUGGUGGUCGUCUUUUUGAAACGGAUGUUUCGAUGCAUCAGAGCUGCUAAGCUGGGGGCAUUGUGGCCGAUCAGAGAAACUGGGCCUGAUGGAAGAUGUUCGAUCGGCCGCCCACUUCUACUUACUGUUGAUGCUGGGUCAUCAACCUGUUGAAAUGAAAAAGAGUGAGUUGCCGAUAAAGUUAAAGUUAAUGAAGGGACUGAAGUAUCGGCAAGGGACUUACAACAUCAUUGGGAACUUCAUAGUCGGAGUCAAUCAUACUCCGGUACAUGUGAGCCGAUACCCUGAAUAGAUGCUCCUUCCAUUCUUCCCACCACUGUUUGUAUGACUGAGUGAUGAAGAGAGCUGGAACCCAAGCCGAUAGAUCGAUAUCUGUCGUAAUGACAUCUGGCUGGAGUUGGGCCACUCUGAUCUAUUCAGGCCCGCUGGUUAUUAUCUCUCUCGAUUUUACAACAUUGGCAUAGCAAAGUUUGAUCGGUAGCUAAUCGAAAGCCAGUUGGUGAGCUAGUGCUGAUGGGUUAUAAAGUUGUUUACUGGGAUUGCUCUUAGGGUGAUGAUUGCCAACAUCAGAUCAUUGUCUUUACUAAGAGCAUUAUCAAAGGGGUGGAAAGUGAGUGGAAAUCUGGUCUCUGGAUGAUCAUAGGGCAUCCAUGCUCGCUGAUCUUUGGAAAGGCCGUCAUAUAAAGUUUGAAAGAAUCGGCCGAUCUGGUUCUCAUUGGAACCGGUACCAGGAAGGACUAUAACAACUUCACCAUAAUUAAGGGGUGAGUGUGUUGCCGAUUCAUCAUUUGCCAGUUCAUAAUCUUCGGCGAUGUCUCGUGGGAACUGCUGUGCGAAGAAGUCAAACCGAAGGUGUUUGUGCAUGUGGACGUUGAGCCACAUGUUGAUAAACCACCAAGGGCCUCCUAGAUUGUCGAUGGGUUCGCCUAGCAGGAGUUUCUCGACUACUUGAUGGAGGAGGUGGUAAAUGGAACCCAGCAGAUAUCGCCCAAGGGGGAAUCGGUUACCAUCGGCUAGUCUCUCUGCUGCUGAUAAGUAAACUGAGGUUGGUCCUACCGAUCGGCCGCAGAAGAUGAAUUUGUCUAGCCACAUAUUCAGAAAAAUGGCAUGCUCUCUCUGACCAACCGAUCCCGUUCAUUGAUAUCUCUGAAUGUACCCUGACCAACUACCGAUAUUGCAAGUUUCUACUUUAUGUUCGGCUUUGUGGCCGAAUAACUGACCAUCAUCGGCAGUGGGAACAUCCAAACUAGUCAGCAUAACCACAUCGGCAAGCGUAGGGGAAGCUAGGCCGUGGCCGAAAAUAAAAGCAUUAAAAGUAUUUGAUCAGAAGUAUGAGGCAGCUAUCAACAUUGAUUCAUUUCUUGCCAUAUCGGUAAUGGAGAGUCUAAUGCACUGGUCUAUUUUGCGUUGACCCCAAUAUACUUCGUUUGUUUUGCUUACCCUCAAGAACCAGUAUUUCCAUCCUUUGGUGGGGUUUGGCCAGGAUCGGAAAGUAUCCUUCCAUAGAUCUAAAGAAAAGUUCUCAGCCCUAAAAGGAAUCCUAUUGAUUUCUGCAUUGAUCAAAUCGGUGGGAUCUGGACCACCCAUUGGACCAAGGUAUUGAGGUGGGGUUGUUCAGUAGGAAUGACAAUUUUCUCACUCAACUCCAAAAGUUUGAAUAUUGGAAGGACAAAAGGAAAAGAAAGAAAAAAAUGCUAAGUAAGUAGACUUGCAAAAAAGUAAAGGGUCGCAGUAAUGGAAGAAGAAGAUAAGAAUAGAUUAACCUCAGGGACGGUGAAGUUGAUGGUCAAUUCUUCUGGAGGAAGAGGAAGUCGAAAACUUGAAGAUUUUUGGUGGAGAUUCUGCCGGGGUUCUUGAGUUCUUCGUCAAUGCCGCCGCCAGAAAGAUGAGUUUGGGGAUGUAGGAUGGCAAGGUAGAGAAUGAAUACUGAGGAAGGAUCUAUUUUUAGGUUGAAAGGAGCAGGGGUAUUUUUGACUUAUCUCUUUGCCGUAUCCGUAAAAUUCGAGGGUGUUUAGAUGGAUAUGGUAACUGUUCGCACGAUAAUCAAGGGAUUGUGCAGGUGAUUUGACAGCAAGUAAUCAUGAUUUAGGAGAUAUUUCACUGUGCAGGAUCUUUUGGUCAGCUCAUCGGCAGCUAGGUCUAACAGAACAGUUGCCGAUGAGCAUGUGUUUAGGAUGUUUGGUUUGGAUGGUUGAAAGGUUUGAAGUAUAUGCUGGAGACCAGAAUUGAAGUUGUUUGGAUUUGGCAAUUAAUUAUCAUCAGAAGUAAAUAAUUGUGAAAAGGUCAUCAUUAUCAGGAGAGAAUUUUGGAGCAUUAAUGACUCCAUACUCCAAAAUUGGGGGGCAUGUGUUGACACCAUUUUUGGACACAAAUCAGGGUAGUCAAUAUCAGUAGUCAAAGAGGUGAUAUGUAUGGCCGAUAGAAGGAUUGCCGAUGGUCAACAUUGUCGAUGAUAGGACAACACGAAGAAGAUGUUGCUGAGUCUGGUGGUGGUUGCUGAGCAAUGCCGAUUGCUGAUAUUGAUAAUUGCCGAUGCUGAUGAGGAGGAGUGUGCCGAUAAUUAUGAAAGGGUAUAGGGAAUAUGCCGAUGACGACAAAGGGAGACAUGGGAGUUUUUAAGAAGGCAAUGGUGGUGUGCCGAUUGGAAAGGAUAGAUAGGUUGUUAUUUUCCAUAAUUAUUAGGGUUUGUUUUAUGUACAAUUCCUAUUUGGUUUAAAAUUAAGUCCUAGUCGUAUGCGAUUGUAACUCUUUAGAACAGAGUAUAAAUAUGGGCCUAGUAGCGAUGUAAAGACAAUCAAUCAAUAUCAUACAGAAAGUUUUACAUCUAUUUUCGCAUCUACUUUCAACGACUUCGUCAACUCACAUAUUUUCUUUUACUUACGAGUUCUUGAGAAUUUAUUGAGUCAUACUUGACGAGUUCUCGAGUUCCGCGUGAAUACCUCUUGGCCGUGGCAUCCGGGCGCAUCGCUGUUGUUGGGACCAAAGUAUUCGAGUUACCACCUUUGUCGAUUGUAAGGUCAAAUCGGCUGGCACGCCUCAACGUUUGAAUCGGGUAUUAGCCCUUUUUGUUUGUAGAUUCAGUUUUGCAUUGACAAUCCUCUGUUGGAAUAUCAGGGGCAUAAAUGCUAAGAAUAAAUGGGAAUCUCUUAGAAAUUGUUGACGUGAAAAUUGACCUCUCACGUCAACAAUCUCAGGGGCUCUCAGAGGGAGUGCAGUAGCUGAAGUUCUAGAACUUCUGAGCCACAAACGCAUGAGCUUGAUGAUUUGAUUCCGAGACCAUUGGACCUAAAAUUGACAAGGUAGAGAUGCAAAAGUCAAAUUAUGGAACCUGCCGGUUGUUGCUAGACAGUUCCGAGAUGUGUGGCUUUAAGAAGCCGUUGAUUGAAGAAAAUUAACUAGAAAGUUAACUUCUGAUAAUAAUGCAUUAUGGUAUUUAUUAUUGAAUGUUUAAAUUAUCAUUGAACAGGUUCAUCUAUAGGUAAAGAUAAACAAAUCGGUUGUAAGAGAUAGCUUACGAAUUACUAGUUCAUUUAAUGCUACAAACGGGUUUAUACACGCGCUCUAUUUGUUUGAACUUAAUUGGAUCGACUCUUUAGCCGAUAUAGGGUCCAUGAGGCACGAACACAAUCUAUCUACUAUCUAAUUUAUUAUGACUAAAUUAGUUGUUUUUAGCAAAUUAAUCAUAACAAUAAAUAUCCCGAAUGCAUAACAUGUACCAAACAAGACCGACAGGUUAGCUAUCUUGAAUUUGCCUUAUAAUUAAUGUUUUAUUUAGAGUCUGUGGCAAGUGUCUAGAUUUAAAGCUCAAGAUAAUCCAUUGAAUCUUGAUUGGGUAGAAUAUUGUUAUGAUAUAUAAAAUAUUAAUAUCUGAUCAAUAUUGAUAACUUAAUGAAUCUAUUAAAUUGCUAAUUUAAUAGAGCCGAUAACUAACUUGAACCGAUACUCAUAAGAGAUUGAAGCAAUGCAGCCUUACAAAUACAAUUCAAGUCUAGUUCAAAAUCGAGUCUGACAUGGGUUCGAAUGAUGCAUCCAUGACAAACUAAACAUAAACCAUGACAAUACUUACAAGCAAACCGAAGGUCGAAAUCAAUCGAUGCAGCUCGAUUUGUUGAAAGUCUUGUCGAGACCUACUAUUACUCCUACUCCGAAGGUUGGUGGGCAGAGCCAAAAGGGGUUUGUAUUAUGAUGGUGUAUAUUAUUACAAAGAUCGGGUUCCUAAUAUUUAUAGUCCGGAGACCUCAUGUCCUAAUACGACUAUCCCAAAAAGGCAACCCAGACUCUAACUUUCUUUUUAUAAUUGAACCCGACACGUCUUCUUCGUCUUGCCUUGAUUCGACAUCCCUUCUAAAGCGUCGAGAUGGCAGACUAGAGGGGGGGGUGAAUAGUCCUUUCUAAAUUUUAUUACGCCGGCUAACCAAAACAAAUGCAGAAUUAAAACUAUCGGUCUAGCCAAGACUACACCCCUCUAUCUAAGUUCUCUAGCACCUUGAAAAGAUCCUAAACAAGCAAGCAAGAUGCUAGCUUCACAAGAGCUCACCUAACCAAUUUUAGGAGCAAGGUCACACAAACCUAUGCCACUAGUACUUUGCAAGACCGGGGAACUCCUACACAACUAGUAAGCAAAAGCACAAAGCUCCUAAGCUCACUAGCAAUGCUCAAUAACAAGGCAACCAAUGCCAAAUUAGAGAGCGCAUGUUACUUAGCUAUAGAAACUAAGCAAAGUGACUAACAAGCUGUCGAGGGUAUCAAUAAGGGGUACCCUCACUGAUGCACGUAACAAGACUAUCCGUACGCAAGCCGAGACCCUCAACUCGACGCUCCGCCCACACAUACGCGCAGCAAUCGACGGUUGCAGCCUCGAAGACGGAAGUAGCGUCGAGCGAACCACUAAGAGGUCGAGUGCUGACUACCGUCGAUUGCGGAAAUAGGCUCGAGCGAAUCAGGAGGCGUUGAGCGCAAGGACAAUGUCCGCCGCCUGACGCGCGCACGAGAGCCGGGGCAUUAAAUGCCCCUGCCGCUUUCUCACCUAACACGCCAGUCACGAGAGGCGUAAUAGGGAACAGGCACUCGUCCCGUCGUUCUUUUUGCAGCCUUCCCCACCAAACGUCCCAGGGCGUGUUAGGACGUGGGAAGCAGAGAUGGCACGUCUAAUCAAGACCCCCUCGAGGUAGCCAAGGUCAGCGCUCCGAUAUCAGGACAUUGUACGGCGUCCGACCCUCGACUUGACAUAGUUCCUUCCUGGGGACGGGUCGGACGUCGACUGGCCGCGCCGCAACCACUCCGCCGGAUUUGCCACCAAAUCGUACAAGCGUGCGUCCAUUGAACCAGUCAAAGACGGCGUACAGAGCAGAGUACAGGAGCACGCGUAAUCAUCACCGGGCUACCGAGACGGGACGACUCGAGGCCAUGCCGGUACGGAAGCCUCGAGUAGGUCAGCGCCCCCUGCUGCUAUCAACUCCUAUUCUGACGCCCAUACAUGUACCCUGGGACUCUCCUUGGAACUAUAAAAGGAGGGACUCAGGAAUAGAACAGAGAGACAACGCUCAUUCGCAGUAGAACUCCACAUUCCAUACCACGCUUGUAUUCGCCCAUGUACAAGCACUUAGGUGCAAGAUAAUACAAACUCUCUCCCCCCCCCCGCUGGACGUAGGGCCUUCUCUUGCCCGAACCAGGAUAAAUCUCUGUGUCUUCUUGCAUCACCAUCUGGGAAAGGGAGCACGCACACAAAUUCACUCGUUGGUGUGACCCCCCGUGGGGAAAACACCGACACAAGCUUACACAAACCAAAUUAGUCACGCAAGGGGACUACUUCUAGCUACACAAGCAAGAAGGUAACUAGCAAGCUACACAAGCUCACUAAUUACAAGAGCAACUACACAAGCACAAAUAAAUGAAUGUAAAUACAAGCUUGUGUUAGGGACAUGCAAACCAACGGGAAGAACAAAGUUGACACGAUGAUUUUCUCUCGAGGUUCACUUGGUUGCCACCAAGCUACGUCCCCGUUGUGUCGACCAACACUUGGUGGUUCGGCGGCUAAGAGGUGUUACACGAACCUCGUCCCUACUAGGACACCGCAAGAACCUACCCACAAGUGAGGUAGCUCAAUGACACGCACGAUCCAAUAGAGUUGCUCUUCACGAUCCUCGUGGGGUGCGCAUCGUACCCCUUACAAUCUCUUCUCUGGAGCACCGCACAAUCUCCUUGCGUGCUUCGAUGGAGUCACAAGCCACCAAGCCAUCUAGGAGUUGGCAACCUCCAAGAGUAACAAGCACCAUCGGGUUGCAAUACGAACACCUAGUGCCACUCAAUGCAAUCUCUCAAUGCAAUGCACUAGAAUCACUCACUUGUUAUUAAUUCACACUCUUGCAAGCACAAGUGAGUUAGAAGCUUUCCAAGCACUCCCCAAGCAUGGACACUAAGUCCCAGGGUGCUCAGCACCGGACAAGGCCGGCCACCACUUCUAUUUAUAGCCCCAAGGGCUAAACUAGUCAUUGCCCCUUCACUGGGCAAAACACGUUGGCACCGGACCCACUGUAGGGACCACCGGACGCUCAACUCCUAGUGUCCGAUGCUCAGGCAUCAGCCACGUGUCACUAGCCGUUUGAACUCGACCAUUACUGCCAAUAGCUAACACGCACGCGCGCCAGCACCAGCCACACGAGACGCUCUGCUGCUUCACACCGGACGCGCUCGGUGCACACCAGACCCUUGCGCAGAGAGCUCCGCAAACUCGCAGGGUCACCGAACGUGAGCCAUCGGAUGCACCCUGAGCGUCGAGUGCUCAAUGGACUCAUACGCAGAGAGGGUCGCCAAAAUGCCCGCACACCGGACACUGAGCACCAGACUCACUCAAGUGCGUCCAGUGCACUCUGCUUCCUUUGGUCAGACCCGACAGUACACUAGACGCUAAAGGCCAACGUCCGGUGCCUCCACGCAGUGCGUACGGUGAACUCCCGCGACUUCUCCAAAUUCUCCACCGGCGUAAUAGAAAAUAUACACUUAAUUUUCUCAAAAGCGCCGAGGAACCCACACCCCUCUCAACCCUAGGAUAUCCACCUCCUUUGUAAAUGUGCUAACACCAUCAAGUGUACACCACCUUGUGCAUGUAUGUUAGCAUUUUCACAAACAUUUUCCCAAAGGAGUUAGCCUCUCAAACUUGCCGUGCCACUCGAUCCUAACACGUAUGCAAUGUUAGAUUGCUCAAGUGGCACUAGAUGACCGAUAUGCAAACAAGUUUGCCCCUCUUGAUAGUACGACCAUCUAUCCUAAAUCCGGUCAUAAACUUCUCUACACACCUAUGACCAGUGUUGAUAUUUGGUAACGCCAUCUGGAAUUGAUCCGCAAGCGCACGGAUAUCGGUGAGCACUUCACCCGGGAGGUUAUCGAGAGUAUCGUAUUUAUAUUUUUACCACUGGGAGAAAGCGUGCAUCUGACUAACCAAAUCUAUUGCUACUACCCUUUAGGCUACAAAGAAUGUGACUCGAUGUGAGUGAUGUAUAGAGAAGACUAUGUUGACGGUCCUUAAGUACAAAAUAUAAUCAUCAAAUAAAUAAAGAAAAGGAUCCAAAUGCAACCAAAACCUAGACUUAGGGUUUUAUCUGACAGAAUUUCAUGAGUUUUGGUGUUUGUCUAUUUCUGCAGGGGGUUAUCAGGAAAUAAGGAAGAAAGGCCCACACGUCGGGAUUACAUAGAGAUAUCAACGGGCCGCUCAAUUAUCUUACAUCUCGAAGACUCCAGAAGCCAUGGGAAGGAAGCGGAGGCCGAAUGGAGCCAGGCCCUGGGCGCCCGCCCAGUUGACCUAGACGCCCGUGAAAGGUCCUUGUUUGGUUUUGGUAAUUGAGUGACAACUUAGGUGGACUAAUAGUGUUUAUGUGAGAUACACAGGAGAUUAGUCCAUAGGUGAUGAUGUGAUGAUGGAGGAGCUCAUUGCAUAUGAGACAUGACAUGGAGUCAUGUGACCAAGGUGGAGAAGAUCAAGAUGAGGCUUGGCUCGAUGGACCGGUUGCAAGAGUGAAGGGCAAGUCGAAGGCUUUGAAGCGAGGGACCGCGUGUGACGGUGAAGCUUGAGCAAGACUUGGCGCCGAUGGACCGAGGCAAUGGUGAAGAGCAAGUGAUGUCAAGAUCGAUGAACCAAUACGGUCACGUGAUGAUAUGAAGUGGAUCAUAUCAUUUGGUGAUUGGUUGGUGCAUGUGUUGCAUCAACAUUGGAGGAGAUGGAAUGGAAAGCGCAAGGCAAAGGUAUAACCUAGGGCAUUUCCAUUUCACGGUCAUAGGUGUGUAGAGAAGUUUAUGACCGGGUUUAGGAUAGAUGGCCGUACUAUCAAGAGGGGCAAACUUGUUUGCAUAUCGGUCAUCUAGUGCCACUUGAGCGAUCUAACUUUGCAUACGUGUUAGGAUCGAGUGGCGUGGCAAGUUGAGAGGCUAACUCCUUUGGGAAAAUAUUUGUGAAAAUGCUAACACACUUACACAUGGUGGUGUACACUUGGUGGUGUUGGCACAUUUACAAAGGAGGUGGAAUUCCUAGGGUUGAGAGGCGUGUGGUCGGCGCUUUUGAGAAAAAUAAGUGUAUAUUUUCUAUUGCCCCGGUGGGAAUUUUGGAGAAGUCGCGGGAGUGUUUCUCAGUAGGAAACACUCACCAGACGCUCUGCGCGGAGGCACCGGACGCUGGCCUUUAGCGUCCGGUGUGCUGUCGGGUGCAGCAGAGUGCACCGGACGAACCGGAGAGAGUCCGGUGCUCAGCGUCCGGUGUGCGGGCGGUUUGGCGACCCUCUCUGCGCAUGAGUCCGGUGAGCACCGGACGCUUAGGGUGCGUCCGGUGGCUUGCGUCCGGUGACCGUGCAAGUUUGCGGAGCUCUCUGCGCACGAGUCCGGUGAGCACCGGACGCGUCCAGUGUGGACUAGUUGAGCGUCCGGUGGUGCUGUGUCAGGUGCGAGCGCGUGCUAGCCGUUGGCGGCAACGGUUGACUUCAAACAGCUAGUGACACGUGGCUGACGUCUGAGCACCGGACGCUGGGGGUUGAGCGUCCGGUGGCUCCCUGUGAGCGUCCGGUGCCCACGUGUUUUGCCCAGUGAAGGGGCAACGGCUAGUUUAGCCCUUGGGGCUAUAAAUAGUAGUGGUGGCCAGCCUUGGCCGGUGCUGAGCACCCUUGGGACUUAGUGUCCAUGCUUGGGGAGUGCUAGUGAAGCCUCUAACUCACAUAUGCUUGAUAGUGAUCAUCCGAUUGUGUGAGUGAGCGAUUCUAGUGUGUUGCAUUGAGAGAUUGCAUCGAGUGGCACUAGGUGUUCGUGUUGCAAGCCGGUGGUGCUUGUUACUCUUGGAGGUUGCCACCUCCUAGACGGCUUGGUGGCUUGUGACUCCAUCGAAGCACGCAAGGAGAUUGUGCGGUGCUCCGAAGAAGAGAUUGUGAGGGGUACGGUGCUCACCCCGCGGAGACCGCGAAGAGCAACUCUAGUUGAGCGAGACGUGAAGAGCGACAAGUGGUCCGGCCGGGUCAAGUGCUAGAGCUUGUGGUAAGCACUCCACGUGGGAGAGUGUGACUUGUGGGUCACCACUAGCAAGAGGACCGGCGGCAACCUUGGAGCUUGUCUCAACGGGGACGUAGCUUGGUGGCAACCAAGUGAACCUCGGGAGAAAAUCAUCGUGUCAACUUUGUUCUUCCCGUUGGUUUGCAAUUCCCUAACACAAGCUUGUUCUUACAUUCAUAUAUUUGUGCUUGUGUAGUUGCUCUUGUAAUUAGUUAGCUUGUGUAGCUUGCUAGUUACCUUCUUUGCUUAGUUUGUGUAGCUAAGUAAGUUGCUCUCUAAUUUGGCAUUAGUUGCCUUGUUAUUGAGCUUGCUAGUGAGAUUAGGCUUUGUGCGCUUUGCCUCACUAGUUUGUGUAGGAGCUCCCCCGGUUUGCAAAGUACUAGUUGCAUAGGUUUGUGUGACCUUGCUCCUAGAAUUGUUUAGGUGAGCUCUUGUUAAGGUAGCACCUUGUUUGCUUGUUAAGGAUCUUUUACAAGAUGCUAGAGAACUUAGAUAGAGGGGUGUAGUCUUGGCUAGACCGAUAGUUUUAAUUCCGCAUUUGUUUCGGUUAGCCGGCGUAAUUUUUUUUAGAAAGGACUAUUCACCCCCCUCUAGUCCGCCAUCUCGACCCUUCAGCCCGCCCCCUCCUGGAGUCCAAACAGGACUCUCUUUUGGGAUCAAUCUCCACCGACCUAAAGGAUCAAGGAUAUCCGUUCAAUCAAUAUCGGUUUGAUCCGACGACCUAGAUUCACUUGAGGGGACUAUAUAACCAGACCCCCUGGCCCCUGGAGGAGGCACCCCUUGAUCAUUAUUCAUUAUUCAUAGACAGAGCAAAAGCUAGGGUUUAGAGAUGAGAGCUCUCUUCUCUUCUCUAAACUAGAGUAGAUCUAGAUAGUAGCAAGAUGGAGAGCGAAGGAGGAUUAGAGGAGAGGUCGGUGUUGACACUAGCUAACACCACUUAGAUACUAGGUUGUCAUCCCUAGCAUGGCGCCAGAGUGUACAAAGGUAUUUAUAAAUGUAAAGGCUCUCUAGAAAAUAAUCUAUUCUAUCCGCAAGCGCACAGAUAAAACACCUCAUUGUAGCAUUUCACCAGGAUAAGUAUUCCACGUAUCGUUAUUUAUAAUUUUGCUUAGGGGAUCUUAAGAAGAUGGAAUUAAAUCAAAGGGGCAAAAUCUAUCAAGGCAUAGACUAAAGAUAAACUUGCAAGAACAUGAUUACUAAUGAGAAACUCGUCACACAGUCACAUACUUUAGCAGGGGGUAAACCAUAAAGAUAAUUGAUAAUAAAGUAUAAGUUCAUGGGAUAAAGAGCACAACGAUUAGAAAAUAGACUACUCCUCAUAUAUGUAGGUGAUGUCGGAUUAGCUAGAGAAUGGAUUCUAAGUCAUCUACUAACUACUAAGUCAUAAUCUACUCUAGUUAUCUACAAGAUCAUAUAUAGCAUAAAAGACUCUUCAUUCAUGUAUAAGGAACAUUGAUAAAGUAAAUCAGAACAUCGCAUGACUUACUCCACAAUACCGGUUCUGCCUGUCCUAUCAACGGAGGGUGGACUAUAUAAGAAUCAACGAAGCUGUCACUAUCGCGAACUACCACACGACUCGGCCAAUAGGAUACAUUUGCAGAUAAAUAACAUCUAACCACCACGCUCACAUGUGAUCUAUCACUUAACUCCCUCGUGACAAGAGCUAAGCGCUUUGCAAACUUAUACAUAAACUCAUUAUCAAUUAGAACUAUAUCAAAUAUAGAACUAGAGCAAACUAAGAACAUAAUAAUUAGAGACAUAAUGCAAUUAGAACAAUAGAAUUAGAGAAAGAUAUGAAUAAUACCAAUCUUUAUUACCGAAGAUCCGAAUCCAUAGCGUAGUGCUCUACUUCUCUAAUUGCUAUCUAAUCAAACCUCUAAACUUGAAGGAUUAGGGAGUAGCUAAUUCUAAUUCUCUGUGGGAGAGAAGCUCUAAACCCUACUUUGAUGGCUACCUCUGAAUAAUGAUUUCUCCUCCUCUCCUCCAGGGGCCAGGGGGUCUGGUUUUAUAGUCCCCUCAAGUGAACGUGAGCCAUUGGAUCAAACCGACAUAGAUUGUAUGGUUUAGAUUGAUCCUUUAGGUCGGUGGAGCGUAGUCCCGAAGCAGAGUCCUGAUUGGCUUCCUGGCCAGGGCGGGCGCCCAAGGGGGGUGGGCGGGCGCCCAGCCCCCGAGCCCGAAUUGCUUCCCGUUCGUUCCCAUGGCUUCUGGACCCUUCUAGAUCAAGGAAAAUUGCGCGGCACGUAAUUAUCUCGUUGUAAACAUGACAUGUGGGCCUUCUCUCCCUAUUUUCUGAUAAACCCCUGCAGAAAUAGAUAAACACCAAAGCUCGUGGAAUUCUAUCAGAUAAAACCCUAAUUCUAGAUGUUUGUUUCAUAUUGAUCCUUUUUCAUGUUUAUUUGAUUAUUAAUUUUAGUACUUAAGGACCGUCAACAAACUCCCCCAAGCUUACCCUUUGCUCUUCCCUGAGCAAAUAGCUAAACUCAGACGGAUCAGAAGUUGCUUCGAUGUUUUCUUUCCUGACAGGCACACAUGCUUUUACAUAAAAAUUCUUCCAGAUUAGAGUGAAGUGUUAUGAAGUUUAGUACCUGCACUUAAGUCUUAAGUAAUCGAAAGACAAAAUAGUUAAGUCAAGCACUAUCCCUCCUGUCUAUACUUCACCUUUGUUCUAGAGUUUUUCAUAAGUUUUCAAAAUAAAACUCAGAGUUCCUAGCAAUGAUUCUCUCAAGUCUCUCUAUAUGUGGUAUUUGUGGAUCCUUACCAUAAUGUCACUUACCUAUAGCUAAUGAAAUAUUUAAGUGGAGCUCAUAGGAGUGAAAAACAGCUCAUACAUAUGUUGUCUAAUCGAGCCAUGGAUCCAAAGGAACUCAGCAUAUAAUUAAAUCAAGAUGUGCAUGUGUGAUGGAGUAAAUGAUAGUGAUGGUGAAAAUGCAUAAGUGAUAAUAAAACUUAGUUCUCAUUGCUCCUCAUAUUGCUAUCUCUCCUCCUCUUUGAUCUUUGCUUUGGGAGAACAUGGGCUAUCUUUUUUUUCUUUCAGGUGGGUAAUAGAUACCCCUAAUUCUACUGUCGGACGCUUGUCCAUUUUUUCCGCUCAAGUGGGCAUCUUUGUACCCCUAAUUCUACUUCGGACACUUGUCCAUUUUUAUCUCUCGUCUCACUCUUUUUCUUUCUUUUUCGAGGUUCCCGGGCACUUGCCCCUUUUUAUUUCCUCGUAUAUAUUUUUGCAUAACCCAUGCCUCUUCUACAUUGAAUCUUUUUAGAGAGAGAGUACAACAAUAUUCGGGACAGUGAGUGAUAAUAUUUUUAGCAAUUUUAAUGAUUGAUGAUGAAUGCUGUGGUAGAUGCGUGCAAGUGAAUAUCUUAAUUUAACCACAUGAAAAGCUCCUAAGGGUCAACACAGCUCGAUCAAACUCAAUGUAAAUAUAGUAAAAGAUGUUAUAGCAAGUACGGCUGUGGUAGGUAGUUUGUUAUGCUAGGAACUCAUCAUGCGCUUCGUAAGUUUUCAAAAUAAAUCUCCAGAACUUAGUGUAGUAGGAACAAGAUAAACAGUAGCUCAACUUUAUAUCAUGUCUUUCUCUUACCUAGACUUUAGUUUUAUGCUUUCCAAAGAUAGUAAUUUUAGUUUUAGUAAUUUCUGGAAGAAUUCUAAUAUAAAAGCUAGGUACUUGUAAGUAAGCAAACAGAGCAACUGUUCAUCAUUUCCAUCAUGCAUAUUUUUGGUCUUUUUAUUUUUUUUAGAGAUUAAACUUAGCAGAAAAAUAAAGCACACUUAUCUACACACUCUUUUUAUUUUGUUUUCAUGUUUAUAGAAUGCAGUAAAUUAAGAAAAUAUUUAUUUGGUUUUCUAAGUUUUUUUUUCUUUUAAGAUAAAUUAAAUACUAAGACAGAAUAGAAUAAAUAAGAACAGCAAAUAAAAACUUACUUGAUAAAUUUGGGAGGAACUCCCCCAAGCUGGAUGUUGACGUCGGUCUUACCCGAUGUUCCAGAACCGCAUCAUGGUUGUGAUGUUAUCAUUCAUUGUUGUUGUAUCUUGUCUUAGCUCUUCUACUGCAGCGGCAUGGUCCUGGUUCCAUUUUUGUUGCUCUUCCAGGAGUCUUCCAUGUUCUGCUUGCAUAUUCUGGAUGUCGAGGAGGGUGUUGUCGGUACGAGUGAAGAAAGCACCGGCCUCUUGAUAGUUGUCAUUCGUGAAGGCGUAGAAGGCAUCGGAGUAUCGUCCUGCAUCAAAUUGGGGUGGAGGUCUGGAUCCUGAAGCUCCAUAUGGAUCAGUGGAGUACCUGCCCGUAUGAAAAGGCGGGUUUGUCCACUGGUGAUCUUGGCUCUCCGGCCAUGUCUCCUCUGUUGGCUCUUGUGGUUGCGCAUGACGAGCCCAUGGGUCUCGAAGGACUCGUGGAUUAUAAUCGCAAUAAUGCAGGUGCGCUGCUUCUUCUGGUCCAGGGUCAGCUCCAUACCAAGUGCGUUCUCUAUGAGUGGUUAUCCUUUCAGAUGCCACUCGCUGUGGAGUUCUCUGGUUCACUGGUGUUGCUGCAAUCUCAAUCAAAAUGUUUUGCACAGUGUAGAGGCCAAGGUUCGGGUUAGGUAACCGAAUCUUGCCUUUAUCAUCAUACAGCAUAUACAUUAUAUUCCCCUCUUUCUUUAACAUCCGAGCUUGUCUAAAUGUGUCAUAGCCAUGAUAAAUUCUUAGUUCUUCUAUGAAGUCCAACGAUGAGUUUUCUAGUAAGUGAAGAUUAGUGGCUAGACGAGUGAUAAGUGAAGUACAUCCUACUGGUCCCUGAAGACUAGGUAUACUAAGCCAAUGUGAAACUAAUAGUGUAACAGGUGAAGUAGGUACUUUACUAAUAGCAGCAUAUAAAAGUUGUAAAUCUCCUACUCUUACUUUCCUAAUAUCGUCACGAUAGAAAAGAUUGUACCCAAGCCAUUUGUGAAACAUCCUAAGAGUGGGGUGUUCCAUGUCACUGGUUCGGGCUUGACUAUACAAAUUAUCUCUAGAUAUUUCUCUCCAAAACUGGUGUCUCUCAAAAUUGGGUAAAUCGGAGUCAAUGUUUAGGAUGCAUCUUGAAGAGAAACCAAGAUGGUCGCUUAGCUCUCUCCAAGACAACAUAAUUUCUUGUUUGAACAUCCGAAAAACAAUUCCCCCCUCAUAGUAUUGUAAAGUGCAAAGAAAUUCGAGGGUGAGAAGACGAGAACCCAGCUCAGUUAUAUUCCAAAAAUUUGUCCAACCCAUCAUUUGAAAAAUUAAGUCAAAUUCAGUGUCCAUACCUGUUUCUCGUAGUAGGAUUGGAUCGAUAGUAGGGGUGUGAAUGAAAUCUUUAUUCUUCAAUUGCUGAUAGACUUCCUUUUCUCUUCGGGUCUUCAGUCCUAGGUCUCCUAUCUUGAGAAGGACCUUAACUUGCUGACCUGAUGAAGAUGAUGGAGCUUGUGUGGGUGUCGGGUCGACGCUCAUCUCUGAUGGUUGUGAGGAGUGUCGGGAUGAACUCCUUGUACCAAUGUUCUUGAUAGCCUUCCCUGCAUUCUUUACCUUCUUAAACAUCCUGCAAACAAAAGUUGGCAAAAACACAACUGGUGGAAAAUGUGAGAUAAAAUGUUAGUGGUCAGCUGUCCGGAGUGUUAGUAGUCCAGGGGUUAAUCGUUCAAGACAAGUUUCUAUUUUGGUAGAGCCUCCCUCUAAACAACUUUUACUUCCGCUUGGACAGCGGGAUCACUAUUUGCUAGGUGACAAUCACUUUCUCAAAAGAACUCCAACCUUCCCUUCCACUCUCCUCUUUCUCUCUACUCUCUUCUCUUCACUACAAAAGCUCCUUCUCGGGAAACUGAGAUUUGUGUGGUUUUUUGAAGUGUUUGUGUGAAGAGAAGGGGAGCUGGAGGUGGCCUUUUAUAGGCUAAGCAGGGGACAGGGCGGGCGCCCAAGGUAGGUGGGUGGGCGCCCACCCCUGGUGUCCAUCCUGGGUGUGCCUCCUCCACAUGCUUCCUUGCUUUGAUCUCACGCAGAAUAAUAUUGUGUUGGUAGUGGUUGGACGGUGGAAAGAUGUCAAGUGAGUGGAAACAUAUUGGUGGAUGAAAUUAUGUGAUGGGAUGUAUGUGAGGUGAAGUAUAUGACAUGUGGGACCCAAAGAGUGUGGGUCAUGCUUCUAGAAGAUUAAUAUAAAUAAAUAUAAUGCAGGAAAAUCUAUGAGAAUUGAAACUUAAUGAAAAUGAUAUUGGAAAAUAUUUUUGUGCCUCCACAAUAGUUAAUAAGUAUGGGUUGUUACACACCACGAAUAUUAUUUAUAUGGGGCUUUUUGAUUUUUAUAAUUAUGCUAUGAAUGUAUGACUAAUGCAAGAAUUAAUUAUGCAAGAAGUUAAAUAUGAGAAAAUUAAUAAUGCAGGUAAAUACCGAUUUACCUCCCGGUGAGGGUUUGGGAUUUUUAGGUCCCCCAAGCUGGACCUCCAAAUCUUUUAAUCUUCUGAGUUACCUUCCUCCGGAGAUGGUGUCUCCGGUGGUUCUUCAUGAACUUCCUUCACUGUAGAGUCUCUCUCUGGUCUGGGUUUGAAUGUGAAGUGUUCUUCUUGACCGUUUAUGUUGAACUUGAUUUCUCCCUUCCUGACAUCAAUGUGGGCAUUGGCAGUGCUCAGAAAUGGUCUUCCAAGGAUGAUGGACACUUUUGAGUCAGGACUCAUGUCCAGUACUACGAAGUCUACUGGUACCAGGAAAUCUCUGAUCUUGACUGGAAUGUUCUCGGCGAUGCCCAACGGGUGUCGAACCGAUUGAUCCGCUAGUUGUAGACACAUUGAUGUUGGUUCUAAAGUUGCAUGCUCAAGCUUUUUGUAGACUGAUGCUGGCAUCACACUGACACUUGCUCCGAGAUCACAAAGUGCAUUAUUGAAGUGUUGGUUUCCGAUCGAGCAAUCAAUAGUGGGGCAUCCUGGAUCUUCCUUCUUCUUUGGUGGUUUGUUGAGGAUGGCCGCACUACAUUCUUCUGUCAGCUUGAUAACCUCAGUGGUGGGCAGUGGUCUCUUCUUGUUAAGAAUAUCUCUGAUGUACUUUGCGUAUGUAGGUACCUGUAUGGCAUCGAGCAGAGGUAUGUUGACAUAUAAUUUCUGAAUGACCUCUACAAACUUACCAAACUGCUCAUCCAACUGCAGUCCUCUGUUUCUUCUGGGAAAUGGCAAAUAGUUGGUGUCGUAAAAAUCUUUCCUCAUUUCUCUAGUUCUUGAUGGUUGUAGCAGAUCUUCUGCUUCAACUGGGCUUUCUUCUUCUAUCACAGCUGGUUGCACUGGUGCUGAUGAUCUUUGUUUCUCUUUUGGGUAUGGUGGAUCUCUGGUAGCUUUACCUCCUCUAGUAGUUAUAUUCUUUACCUGCUCAAGGUUAGUAGGAACAGGCAGUGCAGCAGCUAUCUUUAUUAAUUUAAGCUCUACCCUUUUAUUAAGAGUGUUUUGCUCAUCAAAGGCAGUUAGUAGAAAAUCCAUUUUAUUGUGUAUAUCUUUUAGAGAUGAUUCAUUUGUAUCUAGCCUUUGUUUAACUUCAUUAUUAAUUUUGGUUUGUUGAGCAAUUAUCUCUUUUAAUGAAAGUUGCUUGAUAGUAUUACCUGAAUUCAUACCUUUGCUAUUGGGUUGACUCGAAGUUGGUUGAUAUUUGUAUGCUGUCUCAAUGGCCCUUUGAUCUUCUUUGAACUUGGCCCUCUGGUCAAUCCAAUGGAGCAAAUUUUCCAUCUUAGUUGAUAAUGCUUUUACAUCUUCUUGUAUUUCUUCAGUUUGAUGACAAUGUUGAGCUUUAUCUUGGAACCAGCUUUGGUUUUCUGCUAUCUUAUCCAAAAGUAUCUCUGCUUUUCCAGUUGUAAGCUCCAAGAAUGAUCCUUUAGCAGAUGCAUCUAUGCACUCACGAGCCUUCUGGGUUAAUCCAUGGUAGAAGGUCUGCAUAAGUAACCAUGUGGCCAUUCCAUGGUGAGGACAAUCUGAUAUGUAUCCUUGAAAACGCUCCCAUGCUUCUGAAAUGGCUUCUGUCUUCUGCUGUUGGAAACUGACAAUAUUUCCUCUUAAGGCAGUUGUUUUGCCUAUAAGGGAAAAACUUUGAUAGAAAGGUAUCUGACAAGUUCGUCCAGUUGUUGAUGUUAUCUUGAUGAGUGUAGAACCACUUCCUCGCUUUUCCUUCUAGUGAGAAUGGAAAAAGGCGAAGCAGUAUGACGUCUUUGUCAACUCCGUUGAUGUGGAUUGUGCUUCCAAUCUCUAGGAAAUUCUGCAAGUGUGCACUGGCAUCUUCAUGUGCCUUUCCACUGAAUUGUGUAGCUUGUACCAAAUUGAUGAGGCUUGACUUGAGCUCAAACUCGGGUAUUCCUUCUUCUACUGCAAAUCUUGGACCGGUUGGAAUGUUGUCAAGACUUGGAGCAGAGAAUUCUUGCAAGGUCUUGUGUGCCAUAGCUUCAGCAAUUGGUAGCUAGCUUCUUCUUCUCUUGAUUGCUUUGGUUCUGAUGAUGUAGAGUUGAAUGUACCCAAAGUCAAUCCUGUGAUACCCUGUAUAAAAAUAUAAACAUAGAAAAACAACAGGGUGAACCUGCCAAAGCAGCGGUGCCUUGUUAUGAUUUCUCACUUAGUAGCUGUUUUAUGCAAUUAUUUCUCUAUAGUCUAGUCUAAUAUUUUAUAUGAAUAAUUCUUGAUUGGUUUUCUGGCUUUCCUUACCGUUCCUAAAUAUUACUCCUUUGUUCCCUUUUAUGACUUAUUCCUGAGACUCAUAUAAUUAUCCUAUAAUUCCUAACAUGUCCUAUAGAUCCUAUAGAUCCCCGGCAACGGCGCCAGAAAUGCUUGUUGACACUAGCUAACACCACUUAGAUACUAGGUUGUCAUCCCUAGCAUGGCGCCAGAGUGUACAAAGGUAUUUAUAAAUGUAAAGGCUCUCUAGAAAAUAAUAUAUUCUAUCUGCAAGCGCACAGAUAAAACACCUCAUUGUAGCAUUUCACCAGGAUAAGUAUUCCAGGUAUCGUUAUUUAUAAUUUUGCUUAGGGGAUCUUAAGAAGAUGGAAUUAAAUCAAAGGGGCAAAAUCUAUCAAGGCAUAGACUAAAGAUAAACUUGCAAGAACAUGAUUACUAAUGAGAAACUCGUCACACAGUCACAUACUUUAGCAGGGGGUAAACCAUAAAGAUAAUUGAUAAUAAAGUAUAAGUUCAUGGGAUAAAGAGCACAGCGAUUAGAAAAUAGACUACUCCUCAUAUAUGCAGGUGAUGUCGGAUUAGCUAGAGAAUGGAUUCUAAGUCAUCUACUAACUACUAAGUCAUAAUCUUCUCUAGUUAUCUACAAGAUCAUAUAUAGCAUAAAAGACUCUUCAUUCAUGUAUAGGGAACAUUGAUAAAGUAAAUCAGAACAUCGCAUGACAUACUCCACAAUACCGGUUCUGCCUGUCCUAUCAACGGAGGGUGGACUAUAUAAGAAUCAACGAAGCUGUCACUAUCGCGAACUACCACACGACUCGGCCAAUAGGAUACAUUUGCAGAUAAAUAACAUCUAAGCACCACGCUCACAUGUGAUCUAUCACUUAACUCCCUCGCGACAAGAGCUAAGCGCUUUGCAAACUUAUACAUAAACUCUUUAUCAAUUAGAACUAUAUCAAAUAUAGAACUAGAGCAAACUAAGAACAUAAUAAUUAGAGACAUAAUGCAAUUAGAACAAUAGAAUUAGAGAAAGAUAUGAAUAAUACCAAUCUUUAUUACCGAAGAUCCGAAUCCAGAGCGUAGUGCUCUACUUCUCUAAUUUCUAUCUAAUCAAACCUCUAAACUUGAAGGAUUAGGGAGUAGCUAAUUCUAAUUCUCUGUGGGAGAGAAGCUCUAAAUCCUAACUUUGAUGGCUACCUCUGAAUAAUGAUUUCUCCUCCUCUCCUCCAGGGGCCAGGGGGUCUGGUUUUAUAGUCCCCUCAAGUGAACGUGAGCCAUUGGAUCAAACCGACAUAGAUUGUAUGGUUUAGAUUGAUCCUUUAGGUCGGUGGAGCGUAGUCCCGAAGCAGAGUCCUGAUUGGCUUCCUGGCCAGGGCGGGCGCCCAGCCCCCGAGCCUGAAUUGCUUCCCGUUCGUUCCCGUGGCUUCUGGACCCUUCUAGAUCAAGGAAAAUUGCGCGGCACGUAAUUAUCUCGUUGUAAACAUGACAUGUGGGCCUUCUCUCCCUAUUUUCUGAUAAACCCCUGCAGAAAUAGAUAAACACCAAAGCUCGUGGAAUUCUGUUAGAUAAAACCCUAAUUCUAGAUGUUUGUUUCAUAUUGAUCCUUUUUCAUGUUUAUUUGAUUAUUAAUUUUAGUACUUAAGGACCGUCAACAGUCGGCCUGUCAAUUCUUCCUCCGGUUGUACUUCGUCAUGAUCAAGCUCUAAUCAAGCUUGCUCAUGGGAUGACUCUGAUAAUCUACUUCUAAUUCAUUAUGCAAUUACUAAUCAUGUAUGUUCUGGUUCACAACUCUUUUGAGUACUUCUAAUCUAUAGGACCCUAUAGGUUAGAGUUGUAGUAUAGGUGUAAGCGUGGUGCUUAGAUCUAGAUUACUUGUGGAUAUCCCCUGUCUAGCUGGAUCGUGUGGUAGGCCGCAUAGGUGACACUUACGUUGGUCCCCUGUAGUCCACCUCUCGUUAGCAGGACGGGUAGGGUUUAUCGGCCUAUGGAUAAGCAUCCUUUGUGGUGUAUUCUUAUCACGUGGUUCAUCCCAGACAUAGACAUACCCCUUUGAAGUAGAGAAACCAUAGUUAUCCUCUCUAUUCUGCUACCAUCGCCCAUAUAUUAGAUUGCUCUACUCUCUAUUCCCAUAUUAUCACUCAUUGUUAUCUUACCUUUAAUAUUGUUCUUAUUCAAUUCUACUAUCUUUCCUAUUUACACCUAUUUAUUUAUCUUGGUUAUGUUAGAGCGUAGAUCAGUUCUCCCGUUUCCCUGUGGAUAUGAUAAAACCUUUAACCGGGUAAAAGCUACAACGGUAUCCGUGCGCUUGCGGAUUAUCUGUGUGCGUAUAAAUACCAUAGUACACUCUAGUGCCAUGCUAGGGAUGACAACCUAGUAUUCAAGUGGUGUUAGCAAGUGUCAACAAGCAUUUUUGGUGCCGUUGCCGGGUAGACGGUUGCUGAGUUGACUACGAACUAGCUUAAUCAUUUUCUAAAAAAUAAAAAAAAUAAUAAUAUACUUUUCCUUUUAUCUUUUGCCUUAUCUCUGUUAUUCUUUCUUCUUAUAUAAUCCUUGAUCUCUGGUCUAUCAUGAAUUCAAACAUGUCUAUCUAUGAAUUUCAUAGACCUACGGGCACACAUCUCGAACCACCAAAAUCUUCAAAGCCUAUCAUAGCAUCUAGUUUUGAGAUAGACCCCGAAUACAUAGAAUUUGUUCAAAAACAACCUUUCUCAGGAGAAGGUGAGGAAAACCCAUACACACACCUAAGAGAGUUUUAUCGAGUCUGUGACCUCCUUCGCAUAGAAAGCAUGUCCGAUGAGACCCUUAAAUGGAAGCUCUUUCCGUUCUCUUUAACAGGAAAAGCUAGACAUUGGUACAAACUCAAUGUAAGGAGUGUUCAUGGACAUUGGAAGGAGUUAUAUAGUAGUUUUCUUUCUAAAUAUUUUCCAAUCUCCAAAGUGGUGGAACUUCGGCGUGAGAUUCUUUCUUUUAGACAACUGGAAGAAGAAUGUCUUGGCAAAUCAUGGGACCGCUUUAUUAACCUUACUCUCACUGGCCCAAAGCUUUCUAUUACAGAAGAAGUUCUUCUAAUUCACUUUUUUGAGGGCCUUAGUAGGAAAAAUAAGCAAACCCUUCAUGCGGCCUCUGGAGGAUCUUUCCACCACCUAUCUGCUAAUGAAGCUUGGAAUUUGAUUGAUUUAAUGAGCGGAAAGUCUCCUAGCUUUUAUAUCCCUGAGAAAGAGAAAGAACCAGUUCCUAGACAAGAAGAAGAAGUUUCGAUAGCCAGAUCACAACCACUUCAAUCCCAAACUUUAGCUAUCGAUCCUAAACCAUCAAUACCCCAAAAUUCUCAAAGGGAGGAAGGAAUUCCGACCUUAAUUCUUUCAGAUACUGAUGGUUUAGACUUCUGGUUCCAUAAGAGACCUUCAAGCAGGGAUAAUUCAAAUCCUUGCAAUAAUGUUUCUCUUAGAGAAUGUCCUGGUUCCUUUUAUGAAGAAGUCGAGGAUGACAUAUCAAGUGAAGGAGAGCUAAGCCAUAUAGAAAAUUCUAACACCUCCCCUUUCCUGAUCACAAGUUCCAAAUGUCUAGAAUGCGUAGAAUGGAUGGAUAAGGAAGAAGCUUUAAUGGAUUGUGACUUUGGCUCAAUUUCAAAUGGUGAGUUCUUGACUCCCUUUGAAGAUGAGAUUCAUCCAACUACAUAAGAGGACAUAGGAGAGACCAAUCCAGGAGAAACUCCGAACAUUCAGAUUGGAGACGAAGAUAACAUUAAUGAGCAUAGAAUUUAUUUCAUAGCCACUUCGUUUGCUCCAUGCUCAUAUGCAACAUCUUCCCAAUCUAUUGGUCUCUCCAACAUCACCACAUUUGAGAUCUCCAACCCCCUCUUCCUUUCUAUUUAUAAAAACAUUAAAAUGGCGGUUGUCGAUGCAUAUGUCUAUAAUAAAUAUUGCAGAUCUCGUGGAGUUGAUCUUGAUAUAGGUCAGCGUUGGAAGGGAAACCACUUCGCCGACAUAAAUUGAUGGUUUCCCAAGGACAAGCUUAGUGUCCUAAAAUAAGCACUGAUGAGAUCGUAACAUGAGCUUUUAAUAAUUUACAAUAUUACCUUGUGUAUUGAGCAUAUAAGGAUAAUUAUAAAAUAUUCCUUCUGGUAUUCUUGUCACUAACCUUUCCAGGAUUGGAGCAAGAAGAUCGGAUGAAUGACAAGCACAAGGUAUGUCCAACCGAUCAUCAUACAACAUUGAAUUAAAUUCAUCCAAACUUGAAUUUUGCAAAAUUCAAGCUUGGGGGAGUAAUUUACAUAAAAACAUCUUUUGCCAUGUUGCUAUGUUGGUUGUCCCUACCUUUGAGACAUGCUCAAUUUGUAAAAUACUAAUCACACUACUUCAUCUCCACUUGAGUAGAUCUCUAUAAAUACUCUCAUGCUACCUUUAUUUGCUUUAGUAUAUGUCUGGGUUUGGAGUAGUUUCAUUUAUCUCUUAAAUAAGCAUGGUGCUUAGUUUAGGAAUGAUGAUCUUACUUCCAAGGGAUUUUAAAUUAAGCAUGGUGCUUAGGUUAAAAUGCCCUCCUAAAUCAAAUUAGACAUUAUGUCUAGGUUUAUUUUUGAGCCGAUAGUAUGCUAUAGUAGAUAUUGGAUAUUUUGUUGGACUAAACCCUACAGGAAAACUUUCAAUAUCGACCUGGGAAGUCCUGAGAUAAACUCACAUCAGAGACAAAGGGAUAGACACAUGAAGUUUAACAAUUUACACAAGGAAGACGUAGCUCAUAAGAGAUGAUCCAUGGAGAGUGCUACAAACACGAUGCACAACCGCUAAGAAAGGAAAGCUUCCACAAGGUGAGACUGUACCAUCACUCUUCAAUUAAGGUAACACCUUAAGGUACUUGACUAUCACUUUUAUAAGCUUCUCUUUGGUUCUGGCGUUCAUAUGAAUAAAAGAGACAAACAUGUAUGAUUUAUAACUCCAAAUUAACCAACCCCACUGAUUCAGCAUGUUUGGUCCCUUAAUCUUUGAUCCCCACACUCCUAGUCAAAUGAGCUAAAAUGUUGCACAGUUAAUCUUUGGGAAGAUAUAAAGAAAAAGACAUAUAUAUAGAUAGAUUAUCUUUCCAUUAGGUUGAGCGAUCUGAUCCGGCAAAUGUUUUAAAUGCUACAUCAUGAACUUAUCAUACAUCAACUUUGUCUUGCUCACCAUGCUUAAGGUUAGAGAAGAACAAAUACACUUUUGGUUCUGUUGGUGUUUUCCACCAACAGGGCCAUGCACUUGAUCUCUGCCUUGUCUCUAUGAGCAGGUACACUACGAGCACAAACACACUGAGCAAGAUACUGCCAACACCGCACUUCGAACUACUGGGCAAACGAAGAACAUGGGUGACACCAUAUUAAGAGGUGCAGACGUCAAGGUCCACACCUGAAUCAAAUGACGCACCUGAAGAAUGAACACGGUGAGAAGUCUUGUUCAGAAGACUUAAAACAUUGAAUCCUCACCGAAAGGUAAAAUCGGUAGUUAUCCAUAUUUAUCCUUUCUGCAUUCUCUUUUCCCUUUAAUUAUUUACUUUCCUUAAAUAGCUUAUUAGUUAAUCAUGCUAUCUUGAAAAGAAAAUAAAAAUGUUAAAAAAUAAUAAGCCCCAUGUGAGUAUGCUCGUGGCAUGAAACCCAUAAGUACAUUCACUGUGGUGGCGUAAAAAUAAAAUAAAUAUAUUCUUGUCCUAUAGAAAUAAAAAUAUAAAAAUAAAUUUAUGAUCCUACCAAAGAGAAUAAUAUUUAUUAGAGGAAGCUCAAUAUGAUAAAGGCAAAGCGAUUUUAUGCUAACACUUAACCAGUUCCACAAAGCUUUGUUGUCUAUUUUACCUCCACAGAAUUCAAGGAUCAAAGAAGACUAGCAGACGGAGGACAUUCUAAUCGCUAUCUGGGUGCUGCCGACAUUCAAAUACACCUCCGCCACCUGCUAGCUGAAUCAAAAGAAAUUACGUCAAAAUCCAACUUGGGGGAGAGCACUCCCAUUUAUCCAGCUAAGUGUUUCUACUCGCGUUUAUCCUUUACUCAAAUAAUAAAAAGAUGCAUGAUCAUAAAAACCCAAAUAAAGAUUUUAUGGUUAUAUAUAUCUAUGCUUAGUUUGCUAAAUAAAUAAAAAAAUAAAGUUUGCUAUGAACCCUCAUGAUAAGCUCUCACAUAGAAAUGAUGAAUAGUUGUUCUGCCAUGACUAGUUCUCAAAAUUGAAUUCUCUCUCAAGUUUAGGCAUGACUGUUAUUAAUUAAGAUUUGCUCUAAACCUGAACUUGUGGGAAGAGUACUUGAUCUAAAGUCUAAGUCGUUAACAGAUAUGAUAUGGGAAGGUUGAGCUGCUGUUUAUCUGUUCCUAGAGAUGCUAGAAUUCUGGAGAAUUUUAUCAUUGAAAAUCUUUAAAAUAUUGCAUGAUGACUUCCUGUAUGAUGAGAGUUUAAAAUCCUACCACAGGCACAUAUACAUGCUUAUUAGACUAUGAACUGUACAUUUACUUUUUAGUACUUAUGAGCAUUGAGUGUGGUCAAGUUAUGUAGACUCUUAGGAGCUUGUCAUGCAGUUAAAAUCAAGAUCCAAUUGCACGUUCACUCAUACAUGCUGCUUCUACUGCGGAAGUACGCAUCCACAUACAUCCACUCAUUUCCAUCUCCAGAUUCACCCAAAAUUAUUCUACUCCUAUCAAGGAGAGAAUAGCCAAAAACAUUGUCCUAUCCCUGUUAUUCCCCGUGAAAUAAAUGCUGGAGAUAUUUUGGUUACUACCACUUGCAACAUUAUUCCAGGAGGGUGAGUGCUCUAAAAAAGAGAAGAAAAAGUGAAUACGAGGAAAUAAAAAGGGGCAAGUGCCCGGAACCUCGAAGAAAAGAAAAAGUGAGACGAGAGGUAAAAAUGGACAAGUGUCCGACAAUAGAAUUAGGGGUACAAUAUACCCACCUGAGAGAAAAGAAAAAAAAGAAAAUAUAGAGCAUCUCAUUCCCCUCAAAAAGUUUCAAAGGGCAAGAAAGGUAUGUAUCCCCUCAAAAGAGCAAAAGUAGAAUUAGACUUUCACCAAUGUUUUCACCAUUAUCACCAUCAUCACCAUACACCAUUCAUUCGCCACACAUGCACAUCUUGAUUUGACUUAUUGACUUGUUUCUCUGGAUCUAUGGUUUGAUUAUGCAAUAAAUGUCUUGUAAGUAUGUAUUAGCUGUCUCCCACCUAUGAGCUCCAGAUAUCAAACCUUAUUAGAGUAGGGUGAGAGAGAAGACAAUAUCACUAUGCCUCAUACCACAAAUACCACAUACUUUGAGAGCAGGCAUAUGCCAUUACUGCCUUGGUAAGGAUCAAGAAAUACCACAAAAGAGAGAUUUGAGAGAGUCAUACAAGGAAUCUCUGAGUUUUAUUUGAAAAUCUGCAAAAACUCCAGAGCUAUAGUUGAUCAAAGAACAAGAGACAUGGUGCUUGACUUGACCGUUCUAUCUUUUAACUGCUCAAGACAUAAGUGACGGUUGCAAGCCCCAUGGUGGAAGGUAAUAUGAGUAUGUUUAAAUCUUAAUUGUUUACCUUAACCUAGAGAUGAGAUCUUGUUUGAACGCAUGUGUACCUUUAAGGCAAAAAACCACUGCAGAAACUCUUGAGUCCAUCCUUGCUCAGGGACGAGCAAGAGGUAAGCUUGGGGGAGUUGUUGACGGUCCUUAAGUACCAAAUAUAAUCAUCAAAUAAAUAAAGAAAAGGAUCCAAAUGCAACCAACACCUAGACUUAGGGUUUUAUCUGACAGAAAUCCACGAGUUUUGGUGUUUGUCUAUUUCUGCAGGGGGUUAUCAGGAAAUAAGGAAGAAAGGCCCACACGUCGGGAUUACAUAGAGAUAUCAACGUGCCGCACAAUUAUCUUACAUCUAGAAGAAUCCAGAAGCCACGGGAAGGAAGCGGAGGCCGAACGGAGCCAGGCCCUGGGUGCCCGCCCAGUUGACCUGGGCGCCCGCCCCCUCCUGGAGUCCAAACAGGACUCUCUUUCGGGAUCAAUCUCCACCGACCUAAAGGAUCAAGGAUAACCAUUCAAUCAAUGUCGGUUUGAUCUGACGGCCUAGAUUCACUUGAGGGGACUAUAUAACCAGACCCCCUGGCCCCUAGAGGAGGCACCCCUUGAUCAUUAUUCAUUAUUCAUAGACAGAGAAAAAGCUAGGGUUUAGAGAUGAGAGCUCUCUUCUCUUCUCUAAACUAGAGUAGAUCUAGAUAGUAGCGAGAUGGAGAGCGAAGGAGGAUUAGAGGAGAGGCCGGCCUGUUGGUUCUUCCUCCGGUUGUACUUCGUCAUGAUCAAGCUCUAAUCAAGCUUGCUCAUGGGAUGACUCUAGUAAUCUACUUCUAAUUCAUUAUGCAAUUACUAAUCAUGUAUGUUCUGGUUCACAACUCUUUUGAGUACUUCUAAUCUAUAGGACCCUAUAGGUUAGAGUUGUAGUAUUGGUGUAAGUGUCGUGCUUAGAUCUAGAUUACUUGUGGAUAUCCCCUGUCUAGCUGGAUCGUGUGGUAGGCCGCGUAGGUGACAGUUACGUUGGUCCCCUGUAGUCCACCUCUUGUUAGCAGGACGGGUAGGGUUUAUCGGCCUAUGGAUAAGCAUCCUUUGUGGUGUAUUCUUAUCACGUGGUUCGUCCCAGACAUAGACAUACCCCUUUGAAGUAGAGAAACCAUAGUUAUCCUCUCUAUUCUGCUACCAUCGCCCAUAUAUUAGAUUGCUCUACUCUCUAUUCCCAUAUUACCACUCAUUGUUAUCUUACCUUUAAUAUUGUUCUUAUUCAAUUCUACUAUCUUUCCUAUUUACACCUAUUUAUUUAUCUUGGUUAAGUUAGAGCGUAGAUCAGUUCUCCCAUUUCCCUGUGGAUACGAUAAAACCUUUAAUCGGGUAAAAGCUACAGCGGUACCCGUGUGCUUGCGGAUUAUCUGUGUGCGUAUAAAUACCAUAGUACACUCUAGUGCCAUGCUGGGGAUGACAACCUAUUAUUCGAGUGGUGUUAGCAAGUGUCAACAGACUACAACCUUAAUCUCAUUCUAACCAUGGUAAGGAUGAUCUACUGUUCUGUUGGGGAGGCUCACGGAAUCUAGACACCACAGAGGAUGUUCGACCCGCACCUAUAAACCCUAUCGAUCAUACUAAUGGGAUAUGGGCUACAAAGGUAACUUGGAAAUGUCACGUUCCUCGCUACUACCAUGGUCCAGCUAGUCAGGGGAUAUCUAUUAGUAUCCUAGCCCAAACACCACGUUUACGCUAGAGAUGAUUACUCUAAACUCUACGCGAAGAGAUCAAAGUAAACUCAUAAACCAAAGAACAAUAAAACAAGAACUUACUAGAAUUUAGAAGUCGAAAUACUGAAGAAUCCUAGGAGCAAGCCUCGGGUUAGGAGACUUGAUCCCGCAGGUACAACCUCGGAGUAGACACCGACAGGCCGGGCUUCCUCCGAUCUACACCUCCACUCUAUAAUGAACUUGUUCUCCUCUAGGGGCCAGGGGGUCUGCUUAUAUAGUCCCCUUAGGUGAACGUGGGCCGUUAGAUCAAACUGACAUUGAUUGCACGGUUAUUCUUGAUCCUUUAUGUCGGUGGAGCAUAAUCCGUGAGAUUGAACGUGAUUGGCCACAACACCUGGGCGGGCGCCCUGCCCCCGGGCCCGGUCGGCCUCCCGUUCGUUUCUGUGGCUUCUGGACUCUUCUAGAUGAUAGAAAAUUGCGCGGCACGUUAAUAUCUCUAUGUAAACCCGACAUGUGGGCCUUCCUCUAUAUUUCCUGAUAUCCCCCUGCAGAAAUAGACAAACACCAAAACUUGUGGAAUUCUAUCAGAUAAAACCCUAAGUUUGGGUGUUGGUUGCAUUUGGAUCCUUUUCUUUAUUUAUUGGAUGAUUAUAUUUGGUACUUAAGGACCAUCAACAACUCCCCCAAGCGUACCUCUUGCUCGUCCCUGAGCAAGGAUGGACUCAAGAGUUUCAGCAGUGGUUUCAUGCCUUAAAAGUACACACGCGUUCAAGCAAGAUCUCAUCUCUGAGUUAGAGUAAACUGUUAAGACUUAAAACUUACUCAUUUUACCUUUCACCAUGGGGCUUGCAACUGUCACUUGUGUCUUGAGCAGUUAAAAGAUAGAACAGUCUAGUCAAGUGCUAUGUCUCUUGUUCUUUGAUCAGCUAUAGCUCUGGAGUUUUUGAGGAUUUUCAAAUAAAACUCGGAGAUUCCUUGUAUGACUCUCUAAUCUAUCUUUUGUGGUAUUUCUGGAUCCUUUCCAAGGCAGUAAUGGUAUAUGCCUUCUCUCAAAGUAUGUGGUAUUUUUGGUAUGAGGCAUAGUGAUAUUGCCUUCUCUCUCACCCUACUCUAAUAAGGUUUUGAUAUUUGGAGCUCAUAGGUGGGAGACAGAUAAUACAUACUUACAAGACAUUUAUUGCAUAGUCAAAACAUGGAUCCAGAGAAACAAGUCAAUAAGUCAAAUCAAGAUGUGCAUGUGUGGCGAGUGAAUGGUGUAUGGUGAUAAGAAUGGUGAAAGUCUAAUUCUACUUUUGCUCUUUUGAGGGGAUACAUACCUUUCUUGCACUUUGAAGCUGUUUGAGGAGAAUGAGAUGCUCUAUAUUUUCUUUUUCUUUUCUCUCAGGUGGGUAUCUUGUACCCCUAAUUCUACUGUCGGACACUUGUCCAUUUUUACCUCUCGUCUCACUUUUUCUUUUCUUCGAGGUUCCGGGCACUUGCCCCUUUUUAUUUCCUCGUAUUCUUUCUCUCUCUUUUUUUUCUUUUCUCUUUUUUUACUAGAGCACUCAUCUCCUGAAAUAAUAUAGCAAGUGGUAGUAACCAAGAUAACUCGAGCAUUUAUUUCGUAGGGAAAACAGAAAUAGGAGAAUGUUUUUGGCUAUUCUCUCCCGGAUUAGGAGUAGAAUACUUUUGGGUGGCUCUGGAGAUGGAAAUGAGUGGAUAUAUGUGGAUGCAUACUUCCGGAGUAAAAGUAGCAUGUAUGAGUGAACGUGCAAGUGAAUCUUGAUUUUAACCGCCUGACAAGCUCCUAAGGGUCUACACAGCUUGACCACACUCAAUGCUCAUAAGCAGUAAAAAGUAAAUGUGUGGCUCAGAGUCUAGCAAGCAUGUAUAUAUGGCUGUGGUAGGAAUUUAAACUAUCAUCAUACAGGAACUCAUCAUGUGUUAUUUUAAAGAUUUUCAAAGAUAAAAUUCUCCAGAAUUCUAGCAUCUCUAGGAACAGAUAAACAGUAGCUCAACCUUCCCGUAUCGUAUCCGUUAACGACUUAGACUUUUGAUCAAGUAUUCUUCCCACAAGUUCAGGUUUAGAGCAAAUCUUAAUUCAUAACAGUCAUGCCUAAACUCGAGAGAGAUUUCAAUUUUGAGAACUAGUCAUGGCAGAGUAGCUAUUCAUCAUUUCCAUGUGAAAGCUUAUCAUGAGAGUUCAUAGCAAACUUUAUUUAUUUAUUUAUUUAGCAAACAACACAAAAUCUUUAUUUGGGUUUUUAUGAUUAUGCAUCUUUUUAUUAUUUGAGUAAAGUAUAAACAUGAGUAGAACACUUAGCUAGAUAAAUGGGGGUGCUCUCCCCCAAGCUGGAUUUUGACGUAAUUUCUUCUGACGUAAUUUCUUCCUCCUAAUAAAUGCUACUCUCUUUAGUAGGAUCAUAAAUUUAUUUUUUUUUAUUUUUAUAGGAUAGGAAUAUAUUUAUUUUAUUUUUAUGCCACCACAGUGAAUGUACUUAUGGGUUUUAUGCCAUGAGCAUACUCACAUGGGGCUUACUAUUUUUAACAUUUUUAUUUUCUUUUCGAGAUGAUAUUAACCUGAUUAACUAAGCAAACAAUUUUAAAUAAUUGAAGGGAAAAGGAUAACUACCAAGUUUACCUCUUGGCAAGGCGUUCAGUGUUUUUAAGUCCUCCAAACGGGACUCUCCGUUUUCUCAGUCGUCCUGGGAUUUGCUGGAUGGCGUAGUCGGUGGUUCCGGCGGCACCUCCUCUUUGUGUAUAACUAUCUUUUCUCUCCACACCUGACUCGGUGCUACGGUCUCCUCUGGGCAAUCCUGUUCAAGAUGUAUAUCUUUGGACCUUAUUACAUCUCCUUUGUAGUCUGCCCAUCCGUCCUUGAUGAUUUGCCUCCUCUAGUUUCGGUUGCGUCGCCUUCUUCUUAGAGGGGAAGUGCAUGUGGACUUCUUCGGUUCCAAUAUAGAUGAUGGCUUUGAUAGUGUUGAGGAACGGUCUUCCAAGGAUGAUGGGUGGAUCGUACUCGUCUUCUCCCAUGCCAAUGACCUGAAAAUCAUUUGGAGCUGAAUGUAUGUUGGUUGUAGGGGCAUGGUUCCAUGCAGGAGUUGAUAAGUGACUACGGCCAUUAUAUUAACGUCAGAUCCGGUGUCGUAGAGUGGCUUCUGAAAAGAGUAUCCGUUGAUUGUGCACUCGAUGCUUGGAACACCAGGGUCGUCCUUCUUGAUCAAGAAAGGCGACUUGAGUCGACGAUAUUGACCUUCUUGAGCUGCAGUGACCAUCUUAGCUAACUCAGUCCACAUUUACUUGUUCCUGUUCCUCCUGUUGGUCCUCUCCCUUUGUUCAUGUCGGGAUUGCUCUGAAAUUUGUGUAGUCUUAUUCUUGAAGGAAAGUCUCCUUCUUCCCCUUGAUGUAGAAACUAAUCUUGGCAGCACUAGCGUAGAUGACAACUCUCGAGGUGUUCAGGAAUGGCCUCCCUAGGAUGAUCGGUGCCCUCUCUUUAGUACCAGUCUCUAUCACCAUGAAGUCUGCUGGAGCAUACAAGGUACCAACUCGGACGCAAAGGUUCUUCAAUAUUUCCUUUGGGAAACUGAGUGUCCGAUCUGCAAGCUGAGUAGUUAGGCCUCUAUUGAUUUCAACCCUGAUUUUGUUGAGGACGGUUGUAGUAGUAGUAGUUGUUGUUGAUGUAAUUUACGUCCUCAAGCAUCUCAGGGCAGUGAUUGCCUGAGUGUCCAGUAUCUCCAGUGUGUUUGUGCUCGUAGAUCUAGGUCCUUCACUUGGAAGAAUCUGGGAGUUGUAAAACUCCUUUAGGUUUUGCUCGAAGUCUACCUGCUCAUAAAGACAAGGCAGAGAUCAAGUGCAUGGGCCAUGUUGGUGAAAAACACCAACAGAACCAAAAGUGUAUUUGUUCUUCUCUAACCUUAAGCAUAGAGAGCAAGACAAAGUUGAUGGAUAAUAAGAUCAUGAGUGUAGCAUUUGAAACAUUUGUUAGAUCAGAUGGCUCAACCUAAUGGAAAGAUAAUCUAUCUCUAUUUAUGUUUUGUUUAUAUCUUCCAAAGAUUGAAUGUGCACAUUUUAGCUUAUAUGGUUAGGAGUGUGGGAUCACGAAUGUAGUACUAAGAACAAAGAUUAAAGGACUAAACAUGUUGAAUUAAUUGGGUUGGUUAAUUUGGAGUUACAAAUCAUACAUGUUUGUCUCUUUUAUUCAUGUGAAUGCCAGAACCAAGGAGAAGCUUAUAAAAGUGAUAGUCAAGUACCUUAAGAUGUUACCUUACUUGAAGAGUGAUGGUACAGUAUCACCUUGUGGAAGCUUUCCUUUCUUAGCGGUUGUGCAUCGUGUUUGUGGCACCUUCCAUGCAUCAUCUCUUAUGAGCUAUGUCUUCCUUGUGUAAAUUGUUAAACUUCAAGUGUCUCUCUCUUUGUCUCCAAUAUGAGUUUAUCUUAGGACUUCCCAGGUCAAUAUUGAAAGUUUUCCUGCAGGGGUUAGUCCAACAAAAUAUCCCCUAUCUACUAUAGAAUACUAUCGGCUCAAAAAUCAACCUAGACACCAUGUCUAAUUUGAUUUAGGAGGGUGUUUUAACCUAAGCACCAUGCUUAAUUUAAAAACCCUUGGAAGUAAGAUCAUCAUUCCUAAACUAAGCACCAUGCUUAAUUAAGAGAUAAAUGAAACUACUCCAAACCUCGACAUAUACUAAAGCAAAUAAAGGUAGCAUGAGAGCAUUAUUAGAGAUCUACUCAAGUGGAGAUGAAGUAGUGUGAUUAGUAUUUAACAAAUUGAGCAUGUCUCAAAGGUAGGCACAACCAACAUAGCAACAUGGCAAAGGAUUUUUUUAUGUAAAGUACUCCCCCAAGCUUGAAUUUUGCAAGAUUCAAGUUUGGAUGAAUUUAAUUCAAAGUUGUAUGAUGGUUGGUUGAACAUAUGUAUGGUCCAAAUGGCUGGAGGGGGGUGAAUAGCCUAUUUAAAAUUUCUACAAACUUCACUAAGCAAGAGAGUUAGUGAAACAAAUGGCGAAGCAAUUCUAGCACUAGCUCAACUAAGCUAUGCAAGCCACCUAUACAAACUAGUACAAGGCUAAACACUAAAGCACAACAACAAGAGAAGGUUAGCUACACUCCUAAACAAGAAGAUACAACUAAACAAGGUAAACAAGUAAGUAAAGGAGUGGAGAGUGAUUGUUAUACCAACGUUGUAGAGUAGAGAUAUAUCCAACCAAUCACUCACAAUCACAAUCACAAUAGAUGAACCUUGGCAAGAGAUGACACAAGAUUUUUUACCGAGGUUCACUUGCUUCCCGACAAGCUAUUCCUCGUUGUGGCGAUACACCCACUUGAUGGAUCACGAGCUAAUUGGCAAUCCAAAGCCAAACCCUCAGCGGGUGCCGCACAUCCACUCACAAGAUGGGGCUCCUCCAAGCCACGAGCAAUCCACUAGAGUAGCCAAUUGCGAUCUCUCACGGGGAAGGCUCAAGAACCCCUCACAAAUCACUUGGUGUGGCUCAAAACAAUCUCCAAUUAUGAGCUCAACACCACCGCUGCUCCAAGCCAUCUAGGGCAUCGGGAAACACCCAAGAGUAACAAGAAAUCCGCAGCAAACUCAAGAAUCAAGUGCCACUAAAUGCAACUCUCAAAGCAAUACACUUGAAUCUCACUCAAUCUCACUAGGAUUAGCAAUCAAGCAAGGAGAAGAGUGGAGUGAGUGUUCUCUAGCUCAAUGUAUGCCUCAAGUAUUCAAAUGUGCAAGAGAGAGCCUCCCAAAGCCGGCCACCUUCUAUUUAUAAGCCCCUCAAAGAAACUAGUCGUUGGCAGUUUUCACUGGGCUGAAAACGGGGGCACCAGACGCUACUAAGUGAGCACCGGACGCUCUCUACGUCCGGUGCAUUGGAGUUGGCCACGUGUCCGUCCUGAAUCUCGCAUGUCAGAUCCUAACGGUCACCUGCGGAUCCCCGAACGCUCUAUAGGUCCACACUAGAUGCGUCCGGUGCACACCGGACUCAUGCGCAGAGAGUUCCGCAAACCUGCCGGUCACCGGACGCUAAGCACCAGUAGCGUCCGGUGCUCACCGGACCCAUGCGCAGAGAGGGUCGCAAAACGCCCGCACUCCGGACGCUAACCACCUGACGCUCUCAGAGUGCAUCCGGUGCUCAACCCUAGCAUGGUGAAGCACACCGGACUCUGACGCUAGUGUCCGGUGCCUCCGUACUCAGCAUCCGGUGAGUGUUUCUCAGUGAGAAAACACUCCCGCGACUUCUCCAAAAUUCCCACCGGCGCAAUAGAAAAUAUACAUUUAUUUUUCUCAAAAGCGCCGAAUCCCGCCGAGCUUGCUCGGUGGGAGGGAGAGAGGAACCCAAACCCCUCUCAACCCUAGGAACUCCACCUCCUUUGCAAAAGUGCUAACACCAACAAGUGUCCACAACCAAAGUGCAUGUGUGUUAGCUUUUCACAAACAUUUUCCCAAAGAAGUUUAGUUAGCACUUUACUAGAUGCUAAUGCAUAUGCUCAAGAUGUAGGCCUAGUAGCACUUGAUUCGACAGAUGACCGUGAUUUCCCCUCUUGAUAGUCAGCUAUCUAUCCUAAACCCGGUCAAUCACUUCUCUACUCAUCUUAGACCGGCAAAAGUAAAACCCUAUGUUUAUACCUUUGCCUUGAUCACUUUGCUCCUCGUCUAUCACCAUGAUCUUUACUUCAUGCUUCAUCCCUUUGUGAUCAUGUGGCCACCUUUCCAUGCCACCAUGUACCUUCAUCACAUGUGUUGCUAUGCCUAACUCAAAUCACUUAAACACGAGGCAUUAGCAACUUGGUGUCAUUAAUUAACAAAACCAAAUUUGGGCUUUUAAUCUCCCCCUUUUUGGUAAUUGAUGUCAACCAUCACAAAGAUAUGAAAUGAAAUCAUAAUGAAGUUGAAUUGCUUGUCCAAAGCAUUUUAAUCAUGAGACAAGGUUGGACAAACAUUUCAAUUUUGGUUUUGGUAGUACUAGCUCCCCCUACAUAUGUGCUUCCAUGAGUUUGGUUCAAGUUUGCACAUAUGCAUAAAUUGGAAUUUUUGGGAGAUUUAUUACUACCAAAAUGAUGCUAAGGUAUAUAGAAUGGACCUUUGAAGCGUGAUACCAAUCGGAGUUGCCAAUAUACCAUCCUUAGCACCAAUGUAGCUAGACAUACAUUAAAAACUCAAGAUACCUCGUGAGAUCACAUUAUAUGUCUAGAUACCACAUAUAAAUAAAACAUUAUGCUAGAAUUCAAAGCAUCAUUCAAGUUCUAUUUCUAGCAAGCACCAAUCAAACAAGAGUUAUGAAUUUAAACUUGCAAUGCAACACAACAUUAUGUUUAGUGCACAUUCAAAUGCAAUAAAUGGUUCAUGAGCUUGCUCCCCCUAUUUGUGUGCUCAAGUUUUAAUUUAUCCAUUUCAAUUUUUUUAGAAGUCAUCUCUCUCCCUUAAGCACUUUUCUCCCCCUUUAUGACUUUAUCUUUGUUUCUCUCCCCCUUUGUCAUCAAUGGCCACAAAGGUUCAAAUUUUAGUGAGAAUUAAGUCAAUCAAUGUGAGGGUCAAAUUAUGGUUCAAUCUAGAUCACUUGCCUAAAACAUGUAAUUUGGUUUGAUCCAAGGACAAGCUUUUUCACACCUCAAAAAGUAUAAGGGUUAUCUUGACCAUAUUGAAUUACACAUCAUAAGCUCAUAUUCUAGAUUCAACACUAGGCUUGCAAGCUCACAAACAUGUCAUAUGCUACCACUAGAUCAAACAACCAUAGAAACAAUAGUGGUACCAUACAUACAUCAAAUUCUUUUGAUUUUCAUGAAUGAGCCUAUUGUCAUGCAAACAUGUCUAUAUGUUCUAAUCAUGUGCUUAGCAAAGUAUGAAUGCUAUGUCAACCAUCGUUACCUUGCUUUGUUGGAGGAGAGGCAUGGCAUAUAGAAAUGUGGGGGUGCACUCAUCUCAAGUUGGAGAAGUCAAGUAUGCUCAAUUCAUUUCUCAACUUGCAAAAUCUCUUCUCAUCAAGUGGCUUUGUAAAGAUGUCGGCUAGUUGAUCUUCGGUGCCAAUGCUUUCAAUGCUAAUGUCACCCUUUUGUUGAUGGUCUCUUAUGAAAUGGUGCCUUAUGUCAAUGUGCUUGGUUCCUGAAUGUUGAAUCGAACUUUGUGUCAUCUUGAUUGCACUCUCAUUGUCACAUAGCAAAGGCACAUUCUUGAAUUUGAUUCCAAAGUCAUUCAAGGUAGCUUUCAUCAAAAGCAAUUGUGCACAACAACUACCAGCACUGAUGUAUCCGGCCUCGGCCGUUGAUAGUGCAACACUAUUUUGUUUCUUUGAUGACCAUGAAACUAGAGACCUUCCUAGCAAUUGACAAGUGCCACUUGUGCUCAUUCUAUCAAUCUUGCAUCCACCAUAGUCGCAGUCCGAAUAUCCAAUCAACUCAAAGUUAGACCCCUUGGGAUACCAUAAUCCAACAUCAUGAGUGCCCUUUAGAUACCUCAAUAUUCUUUUAGUUGCCUUCAAGUGACUUUCUCUAGGUGAAGCUUGGUAUCUUGCACAUUUGCACACACUAAACAUCACAUCCGACCUUGAUACGAUGACAUAGAGCAAACUUCCAAUCAUGGACCGAUAUAGCUUUUGAUCUACCAUGUUGCCACUUGCAUCACUACCUAAUUGAUCAUUUGUGCCCACAGGUGUGCUCAUUUGUUUAGCUUCUUGCAACCCGAACUUCUUGAUCAUGUCCUUGAUGUACUUGGCUUGACUUAUAAAAGUGCCAUCCUUCAUUUGCUUGAUUUGAUGACCAAUGAAGUAACUAAGCUCUCCAAUCAUGGACAUCUCAAACUCAUUUGCCAUCAUUCUUCCAAACUCUUCACAAAAGUCAUGAUUGGUUGAUCCAAAGAUGAUAUCAUCAACAUAGAUUUGCAACACAAACAAGUCCUUGCCUAGCUUCUUGGUGAAGAGGGUAGUGUCAACCUUUCCCAUCUUGAACCCUUUAGAGAGAAGAAAAUCUCUCAAUCUCUCAUACCAUUCUCUAGGUGCUUGCUUUAAACCAUAAAAUGCCUUCUUGAGCUUGAAAACAUGGUUGGGUUUCUUGUCAUCUUCAAAACCGAGAGGUUGUUCAACAUAAACCAACUCAUUGAUGUAUCCAUUGAGAAAUGCACUCUUCACAUCCAUUUGAUAUAGCUUGAUGUUGUGGGCACAAGCAUAUGCUAAAAAUAUUCUAAUUGCCUCCAAUCUUGCAACCAGUGCAUAUGUUUCUCCAAAGUCAAGACCUUCAACUUGAGUGUAGCCUUGUGCUACUAAUCUUGCUUUGUUUCUCACAACUACACCAUCUUGAUCUUGCUUGUUUCUAAGGACCCACUUGGUACCAAUCACAUUGUAGUUAUUUGGCCUCUCAACAAGCUCCCACACUUGAUUUCUUGUGAAGUUGUUCAAUUCUUCAUGCACGGCAUUUACCCAAUCGGAAUCUUUCAAUGCAUCUUCUAUCUUCUUAGGUUCCUCAAAUGAGACAAAUGAGUAGUGCUCACAAAAGGUUGCUAGCCUUGAUCUUGUUUGAACACCACUUUGAAUACCACCGAUGACUUGAUCUAAUGGAUGAUCCCUUGCUAUGCUAGUAGGUUGGAGUAUUAGGAGUUGAUUGCUUCCACUUGCUUGAUUUUGAUUUUGAUAAUCAACAUGAGAGCCACUAGUACUUGCUUGAUUUGUAUCAAUUUGCACUUCUUGAUUGAUCAUGUGAAUGUCAUUGUCAUCAUCAACUUGCAUCGGCCUUAUGUCACCAACAUCCAUGUUUUUCAUUGCAUUAGCCAAUUGAUCUCCUCUCACAUCAUCAAGAUUUUGAGCUUCAGUUGAGAUCCCUCGUUUCUCAACUCUACAUCAUGACUUCUUCCAAUGUGCCACUUGCCAAGUUCCAACUCUAUAUGCCUUGCUUGUGGUGGAAUAACAAAGUAAGAACCCUUCAUCACAUUUCUUCUCAAACUUGCUCAAUCUAGUGCCUUUCUUGAGAAUGUAGCAUUUGCAACCAAACACUCUAAAGUAUGCAAUGUUGGGCUUUCUUCCAUUUAAUAGCUCAUAUGGUGUCUUCCCAAGCUUCCCAUGGCAAUAGAGACGGUCGCUACAAUAGCAAGCAAUGUUGAUAGCUUCACUCCAAAAUGAAUGGGUAACAUUGUAUUCACUAAGCAUUGAUCUAGCCAUAUCAAGCAAGGUUCUAUUCUUCCUUUCAACUACACAAUUGAAUUGAGAAGUGUAUGUUGGAGAGAAUUGAUGUCUAAUGUCAAGAUCAUCACACAAUUCAUCAAUACUUGUGUUCUUGAAUUCACUACCAUUGUCACUUCUAAUCUUCUUGAUAUUGGUUUUAAACUCAUUUUGCAUCCUCUUGACAAAAGACUUGAAUAGAUCACAAACAUCACUCUUGUCACAGAGGAAGAACACCCAAGUGUAUCUAGUGUAGUCAUCUACUAUCACAAAUCCAUAAUUGUUGCCCAAAUAAAUCCAUGUGCAAUAGCUCAAAUGCCUUUGAUGUGCUCAUUUCACUUUUAUUAGGAUGUGCAUUUCCAACUUGCUUUCCGGCUUGACAAGCACUACAUGGUUUAUCCUUCUCAAAUGUGACAUCCUUCAAGCCUCUAACUAUGUCAUGCCUCAAAAGUUUGUUCAAUUGUUUCAUUCCAACAUGACCAAGCUUUCUAUGCCACAACCAACCCAAACUUGAUUUGUUAAUUAGGCAUGAUGUCAAUUGAGUGUCACUAUCAUUGAAAUCAACCAAGUAUAAGCUACCAUGCCUAAAUCCUUUGAAUAUCAAGUUUGAUCCAUCAACACUAAUCACCUCAACAUCAUCACUACCAAAGAUGCACUUGAAACCAAGGUCACAAAGUUGUGCAAUUGACAAGAGAUUGAAAUCAAGGCUUUCAACUAGCAACACAUUUGAUAUACUCAUGUCAUUUGAGAUAGCAAUUUUACCAAGUCCCUUGACCUUGCCUUUCUUGUUGUUGCCGAAGGUGAUUGAAUCAAAGCCACCAUUUAGACUAGUAUCAAACGACUUGAACAUACAAGACUCUCCGGUCAUAUAUUGAGUGCACCCACUAUCAAGCACCCAAUGCCUUCCUCCGGCUUUGUAAUUGACCUACAAGACAAGAUCAAUUCUUUUUAGGUACCCAAACUUGAUUGGGUCCUCCAAGGUUAGCAACUAAGCUCUUUGGUACCCAAAUGGCUUUCUUCUUUGAGCCCAUCCAUGGUGCACCAAUGAACUUAGCAUGAACACAUUUUGUAUCCUUGGUAAGCACAUAGAAAGAAUUAAGCUUAAUUGAGGAUACAUGAGCUUUGGGUUUCUUGUUCACGCAUUGUUGCUCUAAGUGACCGACUUGCUUGCAAGAUUUGCAAUACCGGCCAUUGUUCUUCACAAAACUAGUCUUGUGAGGAGCAAAAGCGGCCUUGGCUUUCUUGGGGUUAUAGCCUAAUCCCUCUUUAUAGAGAGAAGCUCGUUGGCUACCCAAGCACAUAAGCAAGCGGUCCUCACCACCAUAAGCCUUGGCUAAGGUGUGAUUGAGCUCCUUCACCUUCUUUUUGAGAAUUUCAUUCUCAACUUUUAGUGUGGUUUCACAUGUGAAACCAUCACUACUCGAUGAGGAUGAUGUAUAUGUGCUACAUGAGCGGUUAGUAGAAGAAACAACAAUAGGCUGACUUAAGAUAUCACAUGUUAGGCCUAUGUUGCAAGUUUUAGCUUUCACCAUUUUAGUAGGCUCAUUUUCACACUUGUUAACUAGAGAGGAAUGAGCUUCUUUAAGCUUAGUGUGAGCCUUUUGAAGCUUCUUAUGGUCUUCCUUUAGACUCUCAUAAGAUGCUCUAAGCUCAUCAAGUUCUUGCUCAAGGGUUUUCUUAUCCAUGAGCAAGGCCUUGCACUCCUUUCUAGUUUCUUUAUAGUGAUGAGUGCAAUCCUCUAGCAUAGUGAUUAGUUCAUCUUUAGUUGGUUCAUCAUCACUAUCACUAUCACUAUCACUAUCACUAUCACUAUUAAUAUCACUAGCAUGGUCACUCUCAUCAUCGGAUGAUACCUUAGUGGCCUUAGCCAUGAAGCAUGAUGGAGUGUCGAAGAUGGAGCUUUUUCCUUGAAUGGCAAUGCUAGCAUGCACCUUCUUCUUAGUCCUCUCCUCAUCACUUGAGGAGUCAUCACUAUCCCAAGUUGCAACAUGGGCAUCACCCUUCUUCUUGUUUGAGCCUUCCUUCUUUUCUUGCUUCUUCUUUUGCUUCUUUCUUUCUUUCCUUCUUGAUAGCAUCUUCAUCAUCACUAUCAUAAGGACACUUGGUGAUGAGAUGAUUCUUGCUAUGGCAUCUAAAGAACCUCAUGGAAUGGUCAUUCUUCUUUGAGGAGCUCUUCUUCCUUCUUGCCCGAUAGCCUUUCUUUUUCAUAAACUUGCCAAAUCUCUUGACAAGAAGAGCCAUCUCCUCAUCUUCAUCACUAUCACAAGAGCUUGCUUCUUCUUCACUUGAUGACUCUAUCUUGGCUUUGCCCUUGGAUGAGGAGGCCUUGAAUGCCACACUUUUCUUCUUCUCAUCAUCUUUCUUCUCACCAUCCUUCUUCUUCUUCUUCUUCUUGAUCAACUCAUCCUUCUCAUCAUGUUCCCUAUAAGCAUCAUCGGUCAUCACCUCUUGGAAGACUUGUUGAGGAGUUGAAUCACUAAGUGUUGUCUUGACUAGCACGGUGAUCAAUGUGUCAAAUCUCUUGGGCAAGCUUCUCAAGAACUUCAUAGAAAAUUGACUAUCUUUUACUUCUUCCCCAAGUUCCUUGAGUUCAUUCACAAUGACUUGCAACCGGUGAAACAUCUCUGGCACACUUUCAUCUUCUUGCAUCUUGAAGCUUGAGAACUUUUCUUGGAGGAUGUAAGCUUUGGCGGUCUUGGUACCUUUGGUGCCUUCAAAUGUUUCUUCUAAUUUUGCCCAUGCAUCAUGAGCAACCUCAAUGUUCUUGAUUUGCUCAAAAGUCUUGUCAUCAAGAGCUUCAUGAAGAGCACUAAUUGCGAUGUCAUUGCAUUGAAGCUUCUUUUCUUCAACCGGUGUUGGUGCAUUUUCAUUUGCAACCUCAAACUUUGUUUCGGUCACCUUUCAAACAUCUCUAUUGAUUGACUUGAGAUGGGCGGUCAUCUUGACCUUCCAAUAAGCAUAAUUUGUGCCAUCAAAGUAAGGUGCCUUCUUAGUGUUGUUGAUAUGCAAACUAAGAGCCAUUUUUUCACCGUAGGUUGUUAAGCCUCAAAUAAACGGUGCCUCGGCUCUGAUACCACUUGUAAGGACCAAAUGGCCAGAGGUAGAGUGUAGAGUGAUUGUUAUACCAAUGUUGUAGAGUAGAGAUAUAUCCAACCAAUCACUCACAAUCACAAUCACAAUAGAUAAACCUCGGCAAGAGAUGACACAAGAUUUUAUACCGAGGUUCACUUGCUUCUCGCCAAGCUACUCCUCGUUGUGGCGAUACACCCACUUGAUGGAUCACGAGCUAAUUGGCAAUCAAAAGCCAAACCCUCAGCGGGUGCCACACAUCCACUCACAAGAUAGGGAUCCUCCAAGCCACGAGCAAUCCAGUAGAGUAGCCAAUUGCGAUCUCUCGCGGGGAAGGCCCAAGAACCCCUCACAAAUCACUUGGUGAGGCUCGAAACAAUCUCCAAUUACGAGCUCAACACCACCGCUGCUCCAAGAAUCUAGGGAAACGAGAAACACCCAAGAGUAACAAGAAAUCUGCAGCAAACUCAAGAAUAAAGUGCCACUAAAUGCAACUCUCAAAGCAAUGCACUUGAAUCUCACUCAAUCUCACUAGGAUUAGCAAUCAAGCAAGGAGAAGAGUGGAUGGAGUGUUCUCUAGCCCAAUGUAUGCCUCAAGUAUUCAAAUGUGCAAGAGAGAGCCUCCCAAAGUCGGCCAUCUUCUAUUUAUAAGCCCCUCAAAGAAACUGGUCGUUGGCUGUUUUCACUGGGCUGAAAACGGUGGCACCGGACGCUACUAAGUGAGCACCGAACGCUCGACUCUCUGCGUCCGGUGCACUGGAGUUGGCCACGUGUCCAUCUUGAUCUCGCGUGUCAGAUCCUAAUGGUCACCUACGGAUCUGAAAAUUUGCAACUUUUGAAAUAGGUGAAAAAUGAUUUAAUUUUGUAUUUUUGUGCUAAUCAAACAUAGGGAAAAUAAUAUUUGUCAUUAAAAUAAAACUUAUUAUAGAAUUUAGUAACAUGUAUGUGCACUCAUGCUGGAGCAUUUAUAUUUUUGUACUGUGUGACUUUGAGCAAAGUUGAAAAUUGUUUCAAAAUGAUUUGAAAAUGGUUUGGAAAUAAAAAAAAUAAAAAAACAAAACCCUUUCCCCUCUCUAAUUCUAGCCCAACCGGCUUCCCCUUCUUCCCCCCCCCCCCCCCCCCGCGGCCCACUCUUCUCCCUCGGCCCAAUGGCCAGCCCAGCAGAGCAGCAGCCGCGCUCAGCCCACCCUGCCCCGCGCCUUUCUCCGUCUCUCUUUGGCUGGCGAGCAGGCCCCACCCCUUCUUUCACCGCCAGCCGGGUCCCACGCGACAGAUCUUCCCCAUCUCCUCCUACCUUCGUUACGAGACGGAGCCGAGCCGGACUCCGGUUCCUCUUUCCCUGCGUGGAGCCAACCGAAAUCUUUCAAUCCCGAAAACCUCGGAGUUUCCUGCUAUAACUUGUCCUAUAAAAAUUCUAGCGUCACGCCGCACAUUUUCCCUUCUAUGCCGUAAAAACCGAACCCUAGGCGCCCUAUUUGAGCUCGGUUGGAUCUCACCGAGCGAAACACCUUUCCCAACACGGCGCGAGCUCCCUGCUGCCUUCCGACCCGAGCUUAGUGCCUUGGUGAAUUCGCCUUCUCCUCCUCUGCGCGCCCAUGGUCUCGCUUUUCGUUUUGGUGCUCGGAAUCAGGAGGUUGGCGAGCUCCGAUGAGCUCCGCGGCGACGCUCAUGGUGAACCACCGCGCCGGAGCUCUCCCUGGUGGCCGGCCGGCCGGGCACAGCCCUGGGUGGGACGCGAGCCGUCAAAACUCCGAUCAACGCACGAGAUUAGAACGUAACCCUUCGGCCUGCAAUUUUCUUAAAGAGUCCCUAGAGAAUUUCGUUAUCCAACCCGCAGUCCCUUGGCGCCCAUGAGAAAUCCGUUUAUUAUCCUAGAAAACGUAAACAGAUCUGCUUGAGUCAGAAAUACGCUUUCUGCUAUUUACAGAUUUGCCACUGUGAGUAAUUUGCUCAUAAGAUGUUCGUUUUAACUCCGUUUUUGUCCAUUCAAAUUUUGUUAGAUUCGUAUUUAUGAGCUCUACAUUCUAGAAGUAUUAGUUCACUGUUUUGAAACUUUCAAAUUUCACAGUAGCAUUUAAUUAGUUAUCUAUCUAUAGGAAAUCUUAGAAAAAUCAUAACUUCUGCGUUUUAACUCCGAUUUUCGUCAACCUUACGUUUGUGUGAUCGUAGCGCUGCAUAGAUUAUUUUUAUAAACUUUUAUCUUUGAUUUCCCACUGUUUGGUGUAUUGUUCUAAUUAUAGCUUGUUUGCUUAGUGUAUGAUUGUCUACAUUGGAUUGCGUGUUGUUGAUUGAUGAUCGAGUUUAGUCGGUGAGCUUUACGUUGGUGAUCAAGGUCAAGCUUUUGACGACCAGCAGCAGGCUCAGGAGAGCUUUGAUCAAGGCAAGUAUAACUGGGGAUCAUUCUUGUUACCCAUACACCAUUAAUACAAUAUUUAUCAUUUGCAUGUGUCCACCUUGAUGACCUUAGCAAAAUCAUAGAUGAUUGUUAUCCUAAAUUCCUUGUUACCUAUUUUGGAUAUGCAUUUGGGUAGUUCUUGCUAGUGCUUGAAUAUAAUCCAUGAUCUUGUAAGAUGAAUGUUUGGAUAUACAAUAAACAAUAAAAUAAGCUUUCUAGCAACUUGAAUAUAAAGGGUGGAAAGAACUCUAGCUUUUGCUAGAUUGAUCUUGACCCUCCAUAAGGACUUAUCCCUUGGCAAAAGCUAGGACAACUCGUACAACCAUGAGGGCUAUAUGGCUCUGGCUUUAGUCAAGUAUGAGUAAGCUUUUCUAGCUUGUUAGCGGUUACCCGAAAGGGUGCUAGAGGGGCUGAACCGUUUUGGGUAUAGUGUGAGCCCAUGUCCUUAUGUGUAUAGGCUAUGCGUCAUUGUGCCAUUUGGAAGGGGGGUAUCUAUAUCUGCGCGCAAACGAAACCUUGCGGCCCUAACUGGUUAGAUGAACCUUUAAAAGACUUCAUAGUGAUCCCUGCCGAACUCCCUUAGAAGGGGGUUAAGAGACUCAUGACCUCGGGCGAAAGGGUAAAUCAUGACUCAUGGGUAAAGAUGUACAACCUCUGCAGAGUGUUAAUCUGGUAUACUAGCCGUGCCCACGGAUACGGGCGGCCCAGAAAACUGACGGAAUAGACGGACACUAAUGAACAUGAUUAAUGAUGAUAAAGGAUGGUUUAUUAUGUUGUUUAUAUGUGUUAUUCAUAAUUCCUGUAUACAAUUGAUCAUGUGGUUAUGGGAUUAUUUAUGCUACCUUAAUAUUUGCUAUCCAAUGAAUAAACAUGCUAUCCACUAUUAAAAGCUAAAUGCAGUCAAACUAGUGUCAGCUCUUUGAGCCUCAUGAACUCCUGGUUAUACUUGUUGGGUACGAUAUGUGCUCACUCUUGCAAUUUCCCCCACACCUCAGGAGAAGUUUUGGGCUUGUGAUCAACCAGUCAGCUCGAUCCUAUGGAGAGAAGUUAAUACCCGAAGUUGGAGUUGACGAAACACUGUUUGCUAUUAAAGGUUAUCUCUUUUAUACUAAGUACGUUAUAUAUUUACGCAUUGUCUUAUGAUAUUACCCUUUAUUUGAAGCUAUAUGUGAGAUUUGACUUCUAAAACUCACAUAUGGUGUAUAUCUGGUUUUGUCCUUAAAAUCGGGUAUUACAGGAUCACCGGACGCUCUGUAGGUCCACACCGGACUCAUGCACAGAGAGUUCCGCAAACCUACGGGUCACCGGACGCUAAGCACCAGUAGCGUCCGGUGCUCACCGGACCCAUGCGCAGAGAGGGUCGCAAAACGCCCGCACUUCGGACGCUAACCAGUGGACGCUCUCAGAGUGCGUCCGGUGCUCAACCCUAGCAGGGUCAAGCACACCGGACUCUGAGGCUAGCGUCCGGUGCCUCCGUACCCAGCGUCCGGUGCCUCCGUACUCAGCGUCCGGUGAGUGUUUCUCAGUGAGAAAACACUCCCGCGACUUCUCCAAAAUUCCCACCGGCGCAAUAGAAAAUAUACACUUAUUUUUCUCAAAAGCGCCGAAUCCCGCCGAGCUUGCUCGGCGGGAGGGAGAGAGGAACCCAAACCCCUCUCAACCCUAGAAACUCCACCUCCUUUGCAAAAGUGCUAACACCAACAAGUGUCCACCACCAAAGUGCAUGUGUGUUAGCUUUUCACAAACAUUUUCCCAAAGGAGUUAAGUUAGCACUUUACUANNNNNNNNNNNNNNNNNNNNNNNNNNNNNNNNNNNNNNNNNNNNNNNNNNNNNNNNNNNNNNNNNNNNNNNNNNNNNNNNNNNNNNNNNNNNNNNNNNNNCAGAUGUAGGCCUAGUAGCACUUGAUUCGAGAGAUGACCGUGAUUUCCCCUCUUGAUAGUCGGCUAUCUAUCCUAAACCCGGUCAAUCACUUCUCUACUCAUCUUAGACCGGCAAAAGUAAAACCCUAUGUUUAUACCUUUGCCUUGAUCACUUUGCUCCUUGUCUAUCACCAUGAUCUGUACUUCAUGCUUCAUCCCUUUGUGAUCAUGUGGCCACCUUUCCAUGCCACCAUGUACCUUCAUCACAUGUGUUGCUAUGCCUAACUCAAAUCACUUAAACACGAGGCAUUAGCAACUUGGUGUCAUUAAUUACCAAAACCAAACUUGGGCUUUCAACAUACCUUGUGCUUGUCAUUCAUACGAUCUUCUUGCUCCAAUUCUGGAAAUGUUAGUGGCAAGAAUACUCAAAGGAAUAUUUUUAAAAUUAUCCUUAUAUGUUCAAUACACAAGGUAAUGUUUAAUAGCUCAUGUUACAAUCUGAUCAGUGCUUGUUUUAGGACACUAAGCUUGUCCUUGGGAAACCAUCAAUUUAUGUCGGCGAAGUGGUUUCCCUUCCAACGCUGACCUAUAUCAAGAUCAACUCCACGAGAUCUGCAAUAUUUAUUAUAGACAUAUGCAUCGACAACCAUCCUUUUAAAGUUUUUAUAAAUAGAAAGGAAGAGGGGGCUGGAGUUCUCAAAUGUGGUGAUGUUGGAGAGACCAAUAGAUUGGGAAGAUGUUGCAUAUGAGCAUGGAGUAAGUGAAGUGGCUAUGAAAUAAAUUCCAUGCUCAUUAAUGUUAUCUUCGUCUCCAAUCUGAAUGUUUGGAGUUUCUCCUAGAUUGGUCUCGCCUAUGCCCUCUUCUGUAGUUUGAUGAAUCUCAUCUUCAAAGGGAGUUAAGAACUCACCAUUUGAAAUUGAGCCAAAGUCAGAAUCCAUUAAGGCUUCUUCCUUGUCCAUCCAUUCAAUGGUGAAAGGACAUGGGUUUUUAAUGCCCUCUAGCCAUUGAUGUUGCUCUUCUCGAUCCUCCUUAUGGUCUUGGUGACUCUUAUGCAUUGGAUGUCUAAAGAGAUUCAUAGGAUGAUCGGGAGGUUCAAGAGAAAGAGCAUAGUAGAAAUUAUUAGGCUCUGGGAUGGGUUUAAAGAUAGGUUCGAAUGAGUCAUCAAAAGUGGGCGUAGAAGGGGAGAAGAUGAGAUUGUCUUCUAGAUGGCUUCGCUCUCCUUCUAUUGCAUCACUUAAGAUGCUAUCCUUGAGUCUUAGAUGACCAUUAAAGGGAUUGGAUUUGAGAUGCUUUCUAAGAGAUCCCUUCUUAGGAAGGUUCAAACUAUAUGCACUCAAGGGUCUCUUAUGAAGCAGGAAGUUUAAGCUCAUCCCAAAAUGAAUUUCCAAUGGUAGAAUUUCUUCUUCCCUUAGAUGAUUUUGGAGCACUACUAGUUGGAUAGCCGAAUCAUGGGAUUGAAAUGUUUGGAAAUCAGCUAUUGAAACUUCCUUUCCUUGUCUGGGAGAUGAUUCCUUCUCUAUCUCUAGGAUUUUUUAUGAAGACUAGUGCAAGAAGGAUGUCCACGAAUGAAGACAUACCUUGCUUUAGUAACAGAUAAAGAAAGAAAAAUUGUACCCAAGGUUAUAUGAUUAAGACCAAUGUGAAAAUAUCGAGGAAAAACAUGGUCUUGUAGGGCUAGGUCUAAACCAGAAUUUAUAGAAAGAUUAACAGAUUCCCUAGGUGUAGCUAAAAGUUCAUUAUCUUGUUGAUUAAAAGAUAGGACCUCAGCUAUAGAAAAGGGUUGGUUUUGACCUAUUGCAAUCAACUCCGGACACAGAUCAUAAUUAGGGGCAAAGAAAGGACAUGUUGACCCCCAUGGUCUAUGGCUGGUCUCUGAAGGUGCAAAAAAUUCAAUAAUAGGUGUGGAAUUUGAGUUAUCCAUAAAGAUGGAAAAAAUAAAAAGAUAAAAGAAUAAAAGUAUAAUACAAGAUAAUAGCAAGACUUAAAGUUAUCUCAGCAAACCGUCUUUCUCCUCGGCAACGGCGCCAGAAAUGCUUGUUGAUAUUUGGUAACGCCAUGAGGAAUUGAUCCGCAAGUGCACGGAUAUCGGUGAGCACUUCACCUGGAAGGUUAUCCAAAGUAUCGUAUUUAUAUUUUUACCACUGGGAGAAAGUGUGCAUCUAACUAACCAAAUCUAUUGCUACUACCCUUUAGGCUACAAAGAAUGUGACUCGAUGUGAGUGAUGUAUAGAGACGACUACAACCGUAAUCUCGUUCUAACCUUGGUAAGGAUGAUCUACUAUUCUGUUGGGGAGGCUCACGGAAUCUAGACAUUACAGAGGAUGUUCGACCCGCACCUAUAAACCCUACAAUCCUACUAACGGGAUAUGGGCUACAAAGGUAACUUGGAAAUGCCACGUUCCUCACUACUACCACGGUCCAGCUAGUCAGGGGAUAUCUAUGAGUAUCCUAGCCCAAACACCACGUUUAUGCUAGAGAUGAUUACUCUAAACUCUACGCGAAGAGAUCAAAGUAAACUCAUAAACCAAAGAACAAUAAAACAAGAACUUACUAGAAUUUAGAAGUCGAAAUACUGAAGCAUCCUAGCAGCAAGUCUCGGGUUAGGAGACUUGAUCCCGCAGGUACAACCUCAGAGUAGACACCGAUAGGCCGGGCUUCCUCCGAUCCACACCUCCACUCUAUCUCUCUCAAUCUAGUAGAACUAGUCUACUCUCACAUUGGAUGCUAAGCCCUAAGUCUAUGUAGAGGAAAGGUUAUCCUUCGAGGGCACCUCUCAACUCUAUAAUGAACUUGUUCUCCUCCAGGGGCCAGGGGGUCUGCUUAUAUAGUCGGAUCAAACCGUCAUUGAUUGAACGGUUAUCCUUGAUCCUUUAGGUUGGUGGAGCAUAAUUCACGAGAUUGAACGUGAUUGGCCACAACACCUAGGCGGGCACCCAAGGGGGGAGGGCGGGCGCCCUGCCCCCGGGCCCGUUCGGCCUCCCGUUUGUUUCCGUGGCUUCUGGACUAAGUCUGGGUGUUGGUUGCAUUUGGAUCCUUUUCUUUAUUUAUUUGAUGAUUAUAUUUGGUACUUAAGGACCGUCAACAACCGGUGAAAUGGAAAUGCCCUAGGUUAUACCUUUGCCUUGCGCUUUCCAUUCCAUCUCCUCCAAUGUUGAUGCAACACAUGCACCAACCAAUCACCAAAUGAUAUGAUCCACUUCAUAUCAUCACGUGACCGUAUUGGUUCAUCGAUCUUGACAUCACUUUCUCUUCACCAUUGCCUCGGUCCAUCGGUGCCAAGUCUUGCUCAAGCUUCACCGUCACGCGCGGACCCUCGCUUCAAAGCCUCCGACUUGCCCUUCACUCUUGCAACUGGUCCAUCAAGCCAAGCCUCAUCUUGAUCUUCUCCACCUUGGUCACAUGACUCCAUGUCAUGUCUCAUAUGCAAUGAGCUCCUCCAUAAUCACAUAAUCACCUGUGGACUAAUCUCCUGUGUAUCUCAUAUAAACACAAUUAGUCCACCUAAGUUGUCAAUCAAUUACCAAAACCAAACAAGGACCUUUCACCUUCUGAUUAACUAUUUUUAUCACGCCUCUUAUUUAGUCAAUCCACUUAUCCGGUUGUCCCUCCUUCCACGAAGUAGGCCCACGGGUAGUUUUCUGACUUGCCAAAAAUUGAGAUUAACAUAAACAAGAUCAUUGAAUCCAACUGUGAUAUCAUUAGUAUCCAAGAAACCAAGAGAAGUGACUUUGAUCUGAACUAUAUUAUGAAGUUUUGCCCAAAAUCCUUUGAUGCUUUCUGCUUCUUGCCUUCUGUAGGCACUUCUAUUGGUAUUCUUGUCACUUGGAAAGGUUGUUUCUUUUUAGGGGUUGAGGUUUUUUAGAAUAAUUUCGCUAUUUCUGUUGAGUUCCCCUCUCUCUUCAAUAGUGAUUCUUGGAUUCUCACCUCUGUCUAUGGGCCUUGUUCUUCUAAAGGAAAUGUUGCCUUCACCAAGUGGCUAGAGAACAUUCAUAUGCCUGAUGACAUUCAUUAGCUGGUUGUGGGAGAUUUAACCAUAUCAAAAAACGGGAGGAUAGGAAUAAAAGGGGGCAACCUAGGAUAAAUGCUUAUGUUCAAUAAUGCUAUUAGUCCCUUGGGUCUGGUAGAGAUCCCCCUUCAUGGCAGGAAAGUUACUUGGACCAAUAAACAACACCCUCCUCUCCUUGAAAGAUUGGACUAGUUUUUCUCUUCUUAGUCCUAGACUCUCAGAUUUCGAUUUACCACUGCACACUCCUUAGUCUUGGGGACUUCUGAUCAUUGGCCCUGCUUAGUUGAGGUCAAGACUAUCAUUCCAAAUGGAAAGGUUUUUAGAUUUGAAAAUUGUUGGAUGUGCCACCCUAAGUUCCUAAUGGUUGUUUCAAAUUCUUGGAAUGCCCCUUUCCCUAGCUUGAUGCAGCCAAGCUCCUGACUGCCAAAUUCAAAUCCCUCAGAAACAGUCUCAAGUGCUGGGAGGCUCAACUGUCUAACUUGAAGAAGACCAUUGCAAAUAUCAAGCUUAUUAUCUCUUUUUUGGACACUAUUGAAGAAUGGAGAGACCUUGAGUUGCAGUAGUGGAAUUUCAGAGAUAUCCUUAAUAACAAACUUUCUGACCUCCUCCACCAGCAGAUGAUCUAUUGGAAACAAAUGGGCAAUAUAAAGUGGGUGCAACUUGGUGAUGAAUGCUCCAAGCUUUUCCAUGCUCAUGCCACCCUUAAGCAUAGAAGGAAUUUAAUCACCUCCUUGUCUUUCCAUCAUGUAGUCCUGGUUUCUAACCACAGUCAAAAGGCUGCCCUUGUUUGGAAUUAUUUUAAGGAAAGAUUAGGCUCCUCCAACCAUGAGUAGAUGCUUUUUGAUCUGAACUCUCUCUCCACCCAGGAUGUGGACCUCAGCCCCCUUGAGGAACCCUUUGGCCAGUAAGAAAUUGAUGAGAUCAUAAGGCAACUUCCAUCUGACAUAUCCCUGGGCCCAAAUGGCUUUAAUAAUGAGUUCCUAAAAAUGUUGACAUAUAAUAAGGCAUGACUUUUAUAGCUUGUGCAAUGCCUUCUGGCAUGGGGAGAUUUGUCUUCAGAGUAUAAAUGGAUCUUUUAUCACUCUGAUUCCAAAAAUUGAUGGGCCAACUAGAAUUUGUGAUUUUAGACCCAUUUCUCUCUUUAAUUCAUUUGUCAAGGUGCUGACCAAACUACUUCCUAACAGGCACCAACCUCUCAUCACCAAGCUCAUCCAAACCAAUUAGUAUGGCUUCAUUAGGUCACGUUCCAUCCAAGAUUGUCUGGUGUGAUCUUUUGAAUAUUUGCACCUGUGUCACACAUCUAGAAAGAGAUUAUCAUCCUGAAACUGGACUUUGAGAAGGCUUUGGAUAGAAUUGAGCAUGGGGCUAUGCUUCAAAUUAUGAAAAAGAAAGGAUUUGGUGAUAGGUGGCUUUCUUGGAUGAAGACGAUUUUUAGCUCAGUGUUGACAUUUACUACCGUCAUUACUAAGAAGCAGAAAUAACUCCUACCCCUAGCAACAAUGCCAGAAAUGCUCAGUAUAUAAUUAACUUGUCAUUUAGCUACUAGCCACUUCUUAGUUACUAACAUUCCUAAACAUAAAGUAGGUUGUCAUCCCUAAUUCUAUUGCUAGGAAAUUAUUAUAAAUUUACAUGUACUAAUGUGACUAGGCAGAUAUAAAAGAUAUGAAUGUAACAUGAUUGUAAACUAAAUGGGUUCUGCAAGCGGACAAAUAACUAUACCGUUGUUGCAUUUUACCUAGGAAGUUCAUCCACGUUGUCGAUUUAUAUUUAUACCACUGGGAAAGCUAUGUAAUAAACUAUAAUCUAUUAUAUUGAUAAAAGACUAUAUAGGAUGAAUAAGUGAUAUUACCAAGAUCAUCUAAUCUACUCAUAAUAGGCAGAUGUCACAAGAUAAAUAUGGGUGAUAGCUGUUGACACUAGCUAACACCACUUAGAUACUAGGUUGUCAUCCCUAGCAUGGCGCCAGAGUGUACAAAGGUAUUUAUAAAUGUAAAGGCUCUCUAGAAAAUAAUCUAUUCUAUCCGCAAGAGCACAGAUAAAACACCUCAUUGUAGCAUUUCCCCAGGAUAAGUAUUCCAGGUAUCGUUAUUUAUAAUUUUGCUCAAGGGAUCUAAAGAAGAUGGAAUUAAAUCAAGGGACAAAAUCUAUCAAGGCAUAGACUAGAGAUAAACUUGCAAGAACAUGAUUACUAAUGAGAAACUCGUCACACAGUCACUUACUUUAGCAGGGGGUAAACCAUAAAGAUAAUGACAAUAAAGUAUAAGUUCAUGGGUAGAUAGCACAGCGAUUAGAAAAUAGACUACUCCUCAUAUAUGUAGGUGAUGUCGGAUUAGCUAGAGAAUGGAUUCUAUGUUAUCUACUAACUACUAAGUCAUAAUCUACUCUAGUUAUCUACAAGAUCAUAUAUAGCAUAAAAGACUCUUCAUUCAUGUAUAAGGAACAUUGAUAAAGUAAAUCAGAGCAUCGCAUGACUUACUCCACAAUACCGGUUCUGCCUGUCCUAUCAACGGAGGGUGGACUAUAUAAGAAUCAACGAAGCUGUCACUAUCGCGAACUACCACACGACCCGGCCAAUAGGAUACAUUUGUCGAUAAAUAACAUCUAAGCACCACGCUCACAUGUGAUCUAUCACCUAACUCCCUCGCGUCAAGAGCAAAGCGCUUUGCAAACUUAUACAUAAACUCAUUAUCAAUUAGAACUAUAUCAAAUAUAGAACUAGAGCAAACUAAGAACAUAAUAAUUAGAGACAUAAUGCAAUUAGAACAAUAGAAUUAGAGAAAGAUAUGAAUAAUACCAAUCUUUAUUACCGAAGAUCCGAAUCCAGAGCGUAGUGCUCUACUUCUCUAAUUGCUAUCUAAUCAAACCUCUAAACUUGAAGGAUUAGGGAGUAGCUAAUUCUAAUUCUCUGUGGGAGAGAAGCUCUAAACCCUAACUUUGAUGGCUACCUCUGAAUAAUGAUUUCUCCUCUCUCCUCCAGGGGCCAGGGGGUCUGGUUUUAUAGUCCCCUCAAGUGAACGUGAGCCAUUGGAUCAAACCGACAUAGAUUGUAUGGUUUAGAUUGAUCCUUUAGGUCGGUGGAGAGUUGUCCCGAAGCAGAGUCCUGGUUGGCUUCCUGGCCAGGGCGGGCGCCCAAGGGGGGUGGGCGGCCGCCCAGCUCCCGAGCCCGAAUCGCGUCCCGUUCGUUCCCGUGGCUUCUGGAUCCUUCUAGAUUGAGGAAAAUUGCGCGGUACGUAAUUAUCUCGUUGUAAACAUGACAUGUCGGCCUUCUCUCUCUAUUUUCUGAUAAACCCCUGCAGAAAUAGAUAAACACCAAAACUCGUGGAAUUCUGUCAGAUAAAACCCUAAUUCUAGAUGUUUGUUUUAUAUUGAUCCUUUUUCAUGUUUAUUUGAUUAUUAAUUUUAGUACUUAAGGACCGUCAACAAACUCCACCAAGCUUACCCUUUGCUCGUCCCUGAGCAAACAGCUAAACUCAGACGGAUCAGGAGUUGCUUCGAUGUUUUCUUUCCUGACAGGCACACAUGCUUUUACAUAAAAAUUCUUCCAGAUUAGAGUGAAGUGUUAUGGAGUUUAGUACCUGCACUUAAAUCUUAAGUAAUUGAAAGACAAAAUAGUUAAGUCAAGCACUAUCCCUCCUGUCUAUACUUCACUUUUGUUCUAGAGUUUUGUCAUAAGUUUUCAAAAUAAAACUCAGAGUUCCCAGCAAUAAUCUCUUAAGUCUCUCUAUAUGUGGUAUUUGUGGAUCCUUACCAUAAUGUCACUUACCUAUAGCUAAUGGAAUAUUUAAGUGGAGCUCAUAGGAGUGGAAAACAGCUCAUACAUAUGUUGUCUAAUCGAGCCAUGGAUCCAAAGGAACUCAGCAUAUAAUUAAAUCAAGAUGUGCAUGUGUGAUGGAGUAAAUGAUAGUGAUGGUGAAAAUGCAUAACUGAUAAUAAAAUUUACUUCUCAUUGCUCCUCAUAUUGCUAUCUCUUUUCUUCUUUGAUCUUUGCUUUGGGAGAACAUGGGCUAUCUGUUUUUCUUCUUUUUUUUUCAGGUGGGUAGUGGAUACCCCUAAUUCUACUGUCGGACACUUGUCCAUUUUUUCCGCUCAAGUGCGCAUCUUUGUACCCCUAAUUCUACUUCGGACACUUGUCCAUUUUUACCUCUUGUCUCACUCUUUUUCUUUCUUUUUCGAGGUUCCGGGCACUUGCCCCUUUUUAUUUCCUCGCAUAUUUUUGCAUAACCCAUGCCUCUUCUGCAUUGAAUCUUUUUAGAGAGAGAGAAUAACAAUAUUUGGGACAGUGAGUGAUAAUAUAUUUUUAGCAAUUUUAAUGAUUGAUGAUGAAUGCUGUGGUAGAUGUGUGCAAGUGAAUAUCUUAAUUUAACCACAUGAAAAGCUCCUAAGGGUCUACAUAGCUCGAUCAAACUCAAUGUGAAUAUAGUGAAAGAUGUUAUAGCAAGUAUGGCUGUGGUAGGUAAUUUUGUUAUGCUAGGAACUCAUCAUGUGAUUUGUAAGUUUUCAAAAUAAAUCUCCAGAACUUAGUGUAGUAGAAAUAGGAUAAACAGUAGCUCAACUUUAUAUCAUGCCUUUCUUUUACCUGGACUUUAGUUUUAUGCUUCCCAAAGAUAGUAGUUUUAGUUUUAGUAAUUCCUGGAAGAAUUCUAAUAUAAAAGCUAGGUGCUUGUAAGUAAGCAAACAGAGCAACUAUUCAUCAUUUCCAUCAUGUAUAUUUUUGGUCUUUUUAUUUUUCUAGAGAUUAAACUUAGCAGAAAAAAUAAAACACACUUAUCUACACACUCUUUUUAUUUUGUUUUCGUGUUUAUAAAGUGCAGUAAAUUAAAGCAAGAAAAUAUUUAUUUGGUUUUCUAAAUUUUCCUUUUAAGGUAAAUUAAAUACUAGAAUAAAAAAGAAUAAAUAAGAAGAGCAAAUAAAAACUUACUCGAUAAAUUUGGGAGGAACUCCCCCAAGCUCGAUGUUGACGUCGGUCUUACCCGAUGUUCCAGAACCGCAUCAUGGUUGUGAUGUUGUCGUUCAUUGUUGUUGUAUCUUGUCUCAGCUCUUCUACUGCAGCGGCAUGGUCCUGGUUCCAUUUUUGUUGCUUUUCUAGGAGUCUUCCAUGUUCUGCUUGCGUGUUCUGGAUGUCGAGGAGGGUGUUGUCGGUACGAGUGAAGAAAGCACCGGCCUCUUGAUAGUAAUCAUUCGUGAAGGCGUAGGAGGCGUCGGAGUAUCGUCCUGCAUCAAAUUGGGGUGGAGGUCUGGAUCCUGAAGCUCCAUAUGGAUCAGUGGAGUACCUGCCCAUAUGAAAAGGCGGGUUUGUCCACUGGUGAUCUUGGCUCUCCGGCCAUGUCUCCUCUGUUGGCUCUUGUGGUUGCGCAUGACGAGCCCAUGGGUCUCGAAGGACUCGUGGAUUGUAAUCGCAAUAAUGCAGGUGCGCUGCUUCUUCUGGUCCAAGGUCAGCUCCAUACCAGGUGCGUUCUCGGUGAGUGGUUAUCCUUUCAGAUGCCACUCGCUGUGGAGUUCUCUGGUUCACUGGUGUUGCUGCAAUCUCAAUCAAAAAGUUUUGCACAGAGUAGAGGCCAAGGUUCGGGUUAGGUAACCGAAUCUUGCCUUUAUCAUCAUACAGCAUAUACAUUAUAUUCCCCUCUUUCUUUAACAUCCGAGCUUGUCUAAAUGUGUCAUAGCCAUGAUAAAUUCUUAAUUCUUCUAUGAAGUCCAACGAUGAGUUUUCUAGUAAGUGAAGAUUAGUGGCUAGACGAGUGAUAAGUGAAGUACAUCCUACUGGUCCCUGAAGACUAGGUAUACUAAGCCAAUGUGAAACUAAUAGUGUAACAGGUGAAGUGGGUACUUUACUAAUAGCAGCAUAUAAAAGUUGUAAAUCUCCUACUCUUACUUUCCUAAUAUCAUCAUGAUAGAAAAAGAUUGUACCCAAGCCAUUUGUGAAACAUCCUAAGAGUGGGGUGUUCCAUGUCACUGGUUCGGGCUUGACUAUAAAAAUUAUCUCUAGAUAUUUCUCUCCAAAACUGGUGUCUCUCAAAAUUGGGUAAAUCGGAGUCAAUGUUCAGGAUGCACCUUGAAGAGAAACCAAGAUGGUCGCUCAGCUCUCUCCAAGAUAACAUGAUUUCCUGUUUGAACAUCCGAAAAACAAUUCCCCCCUCAUAGUAUUGUAAGGUGCAAAGAAAUUCGAGGGUGAGAAGACGAGAACCCAGCUCAGUUAUAUUCCAAAAAUUUGUCCAACCCAUCAUUUGAAAAAUUAAGUCAAAUUCAGUGUCCAUACCUGUUUCUUGUAGUAGGAUUGUGUUGAUGCAAAACUGAUCUGCAAACACAAAGGGCUAAUACCCGAUUCAAACGUUAAGGCGUGCCAGCCGAUUUGACCUUGCUAUCGGCAAAGGUGAUAACUCGAAUACUUUAGUCCUGACAACAGCGAUGCGCCCGGAUGUCACGGCUAAGAGGUACUCACGCGGAACUUGAGAACACGCCGAGCUUAAGUCGACGAAUUCCUAAGAACUCGUAACAAAAGGAAAAAGUAUGACGAAGUCGUCGAAAAGUAAAUGCUGGAAUAUGAGUAAAAACGUGUGUUUGAUUCAUUGAUUGAUUUUUUAUUACAAGGCCCUAGGGUCUAUAUUUAUACCCUGCUCAAAGAGCUACAACCAGACACGAUUAGAAUUCGAAUUCCAAAUUACACGGAAUCCGUAUACAAAACGAUGCAAAUAAUUAAGGAAAUAACAAAACUAUCCCUCGUGACAAACCGAAACUCCUCCACAUAACGACCGGCAGCUUCCGGACUCCCUCUUUGCAUCAUCGGCAGACCCUUUGCCAUAGUCAUCGGCAGACUUUCUUAUCUAGCCAUCGGUACCAUAUUACUGCCUGUGGACUUAGUCACGUUCAACUUCUCCCUCAUCGGCAACCAUCCUCAUCGGCAACCCACUUUGUAAACAUCGUACUGCCACCUUAUCCUGCCAUCCUAGACACGUGCCCAAAAACGGUGUCAACACAUGCCCCCCAGUUUCGGAGUAUAAAACUAUUAAUGCUCCGAAAUUCUCUGCAGUAAUGAUGCCUUUUCCCGCAAUUAAUGCUCCUAAUCUGGUAACCGACAACCUCAAUCUGAACAACUCUGAUCCUAUUCCUCCGCAGAUUCCUCGAAAUCCCCAACUUCCUAAACGGGCAUUUUUCUCAGUCGUACAUCGGCAACAAUACCGUUACAAAGAUCUGCCGAUGUUCUGACCAGGAUAUUCGCACAAACGGUUACUUCCCCUCUAUCCGCCCAUCGGCAAUAUGACCGUUAUAGAAUAUUGCCGAUGGACCGACCAGGAGAUCUCGCACAGUAAAAUAUCUUCAGAUAAUGACCGCUUCCCGUCAAAUCACCUGCACAAUCCCUGGAUUACCGUGCGAACAGUUACCAUAUCCACCUGAGUACCCUCGGAUUUCUCGGAUGCGGCAAAGAGAUAAGUCGGAUUUGCCCUUGCCCAUUUUGUCCUAUAAAUAGUUCCUUCUUGGGUACUCCUUCCCCAUCACACCAUUCUACUACCCAACUUUACUUUUCCAGCGGCGGCGCCACCAAAAACUUCUAAGGUCUCCGACAAGUACGCCUCUUCACCAACUCCGGCGCCUUCACACGCUUCCUUCGCAGCAAGAUGGCCGUCGGGUUCGUCGUCCCUGAGGUCAAAUCUCCACCCCGUCUUCUGUAUUUUUCUUCAUAUCCCUGUUCACUCGCAAUUCUUUUACUGAACAUCUUCCUUUUCUUUCCUCUUUGUAUUUCUUUUUACGCCCAAAAUCAGUAGGAAUUGUCCAACAAAAUUGUCAUCCCCACCGAUCAACCACACCUUCAAUGCCUCGGCCCUCUAGGGGACCCAGAUCCAACUGACCUUAUCAACGCAGAAACCAACAGGAUCCCCUUCAGAGCCGAAAAUUUUUCCUUAGAUCUGUGGAAGGACACCUUCCGCUCUUGGCCCAGCCCAACUGUAGGGUGUAAAGACUGGUUCUUGAGGGUCAGCAACUCUAAUGAAGUUCAGUGGGGUGAAAGGAAUCUAGCCCAAUGCAUUAGAUUGUCCAUUGCCGAUAUGCAUAGGAACGAGUCACUGCUGAUAGUUGCAUCCUACUUUUGGUCAGACACCCUCAAUGCUUUUGCCUUUGGCCACGGCCCUGCUUCUCCUACUCUUGCCGAUGUAGCCAUGCUUACUGGUCUAGAUAUAUCUUCUGCCGAUAGCACCCACUUUUUUGAUACUGCCCCUAGUGCCAAAGUGGAGACUCGCGCUAUCGGCGGUUGGUCGGGGUACAUUCAGAAGUACCGUGGGAAAGGAUCUGUCACCAUAAGGGAACAAACCACCUUUCUGAACAUGUGGCUGGACAAGUUUGUAUUCUGUGGUCGAUCGGCAGGACCGACUUCUGUCUACCUAUCGGCAGCAGAAAGACUGGCUAACGGUGGCCGAUUCCCUCUCGGCGAUACUUGCUUGGCGCUGUUUACCACCUUCUCCAUCAAGUAGCCCAGAAACUUCUGCUCGGCCAAUCCACUGGCAACUUGGGAGGCCCCUGGUGGUUUGUCAACAUGUGGCUCAAUCUGCAUCUGCACAAGCGUCUCAACUUCAACCUGUUCACACAGCGUUUCCCAAGAGAUAUAGCUGAAAACCAUGUAUUGGGUGAAGAGGAAUCGGCAACACGCGCCCCCUUGAACUUUGGCGAAGCUGUCAUAGUUCUGCCUGCUUGAGGGGGUAAUCCAGAUCAGAUCGGCCGAUUCUUCUAGACUCUGUAUGAGGGUUUGACCAGAGACGAACGACCAUGGUUGGCUUAUGAUGACCCAGAUAGCAUGCUCCCUCUGACCUUCAAUCCAUUUGAUGAAGCUCUCGACAGGGACAAUGAGGUGAUGAUGGCAAUUGUGACUCCCAGAAUCAUUCCAGUGAAUUUCUUUGGUAGCACAAAAACCUCCCCUCAAACUUACGAAUUUUACAAUCCAUCGGCAUUAGCUCGCCAGUUAGCUUUCGGCCAGUUGCCGAUUGCACUUCCUUAUGCCGAUGUGAUAAAACCCAGAGAAACUAUCAACAACCUUCUUGAGUGGACUCGAGCAGCCCAACUACCACCAAACGCCGAUAUAGAUGUAGAUCUGUCAGAAUGGGUUCCGGCUGCUUUUAUCACUCAGGCAUACAAGUUAUGGUGGGCAGAAUGGAAAGAGCAUCUAUUCUGCAGAUCGGCACUUUCAUACUGCGGCAUGAUUGACUCCGAAUACGAAGUUCCCGAUGACACUGUAAGUAACUCAAACCAACGUUUCAUUUUCUCAAUAUUACCUCCAUCGGCAGCUUACCCUUGUAUUCCUUUUGCAGGUUGACAAUAUUCCUCCAUUGGUUAGCAGGAGUGGCAGGCCGAUCGACUUGUUUCCAUCAGGCCCGAUUUCCUCAAUCGGCCACAAUGCUCCCACUCUAGCUUCCAUCGUGCAUCGGGGUGUACGCCUCAGGAAAGUCACCACCAGAAGAACCCAGACAUCACCAACGGUUGCUGCUCCCACUCUUGCGCGGGCUUUCAAGGCAAUUUGUCAAAUCUUUUCCUUUAUGCUGACUAUCUUUAUAUCGGCUAUAUUUAUGCUUAUAAACUCUUGUUCAUUAUUGCAGCAAACCGGCGCAUCGGCGAAAGCCAGGUGUGAGAGUACCGAUGCCCCCCAGUCUAGCCAACCCAAGAGAAAGGGCACCACGGGUGCUAAGACUGGAACAAAGCGCCAGAAGGUAGCAAAUCCCCCUCCUCCUCCGGUAUCUCCAAUUCCGGUGGAGUCUUCUCCUUCUUCUCCAGAAGCCCAGCCACAGCAAGCACCAUCUCCCCCACCUAUGCAGGAAGCACCACAGAUAGAAGAACCCCAACAGGAAGGAUCUCAAACAGAAGAUGCAUCAGCUGACAUGGGUGAACAAACAACUGGCCCGGUGGGUCCAGUUAUACCAUCGGCAGUUCUCCCGAUUCAGACAACCGUUGUCCCUCCUCUAGGUAACAUACUUUAACAAUAUCGCUACCGAUGAACUUAUUCUUAUUUAGUCUCAUAACUCCUUUUGUCUUCUUUCAGUUGAUAUCGUUCCAUCGGCAAUCUCAGCCGAUCAACCUGUAGCUCCAUCGGCAUCUUUGGCCGAUCAGCCUGCAGCUCCGUCAGCACUUCUCAGUCAAAGACAAGAGAUCGCCUUGAAGCAAGUAAGUCACCGCUUACCGUUAGCACUAUUUGCCGAUUCUCUGAGUAUGAGCUAAUUUUGCUUUCCCUCCCAGGAACAAGAUUCUCCCGAUAGCCUGUUCUCCUUCGCCAUCGAUCUCUCUGAAGAAGAAGGUGAAGAAGCAAGCUCUUCUCAGACGGUCGGCAUCACAUCGGCAGAGAUCAGGGUCAGGCUGGAAGAAUUGUCAGCUCUCCUUCACCAGGACACAGCGCAAUUGGUUGAUGAUUCCGACCCUACCAAGACCCUGUUCAGAACUCUCAGAGGCCAAAUCCCAGCCGAUGUUGAAGAAAUCCUGUUCCAAGCCGCUCAUCUGGAGAGUCGCCAGCUGCAGUACCAAAGAGCUUCUCGGCGGCUUGCCGAUAGAGUCGCUCAGACUCAACUCUCCGAUGAAAUGAGGAAAGAGAAGCUUUUGACCGAUGAGAAGCACAAGAACAUCGGUAUCCUGAGAUCUUCUGGAGACGCGCUGAAGCAGAAGAUAUCCGAUCUAUCGGCAAGAAAAGAAUCCCUGUUGACGGAGCUCAAGGAAGUAGAGAACGCUCUGUCCCAAGCCCAACAGGAAGAGAGCCAAUUGCCAGAGACCAUCAGGCUUCUUGAGCACGAGCGAAAUGCUCAUGGUCGCAAGGCACUUCAACUGAAGAAGCUGAAGCCGAUAGAAGGUUUUGCCGAUGAUGACAUCAAGGAGAUAGAAGCAGCCAACCAAAUUCGGCUACGCGCUAUAUCGGCAAUCCAGACGCUGCUUAACACAUAGAGUUUCCAUCGGCAUUGUAUCUGCGCUUUCCUGCUUCCUCAGCUUUUAGUCUAGCCGAUAGGACUGUUAUCGGCACCUAAACUUUUGAAACACCAAGUGUUGUCCCCAAGCAUUUGGAUCCAGCCGAUAGGAGUGUUAUCGACACCUAAACUUCUAUGCAUCGACCCAUAUACUGGGGUAGUACUUCUUUAAAUAUUUGUCGUUUAAUGCUCUGGGAAAUUCAAUUCCUUCGAGGGUUUCUAGAAUGUAGGCAUUACCAGGAGCCGAUCGACUUAUCCGAUAAGGACCCUCCCAAUUAGGAGACCACUUUCCAAACUUUGAACUUUUGGUCCCAAUUGGUAAAAUUAAUUACCAUACCAAAUCCCCAUCGGCAAACUCUUUAGCCUUCACUUUCUUAUCAUACCAUCUAGCAACUCUCUUCUUAUUUUCUUCUAUACUCAUUAAAGCUUUUAACCGAUGCCCUGCUAGAUCGUCCAAUUCAUCGGUCAUCAAAGUGGCAUAACCAUCGGAAGUUAAUUGAUCUUGAAAAGAUAAUCGCCUAGAUCCAGCCUUAAUUUCCCAAGGCAACACUACAUCAUGUCCAUACACCAAUUGAUAGGGUGAUACUUUGGUCGAUCCAUGACAAGCCAUCCGAUAAGACCACAAUGCUUCAUUUAAUAAUGUAUGCCACCGCUUAGGAUUUUCUUCAAUCUUUCGUUUAAUAAGCUUGAUAAUUCCUUUGUUAGACGCUUCGGCCUGCCCAUUGGCUUGAGCAUAACAAGAAGAGGAAUUCAACACUUUAAUUCCCAUACCGAUUGCGAAUUCAUCGAACUCCCCCGAUGUGAACAUGGUGCCCUGAUCGGUAGUAAUCGUUUGGGGAAUCCCAAAUCGGUAAAUAAUAUGCUCCUUCACAAAAUCAAUCAUAUUGGCCGAUGUGACUUUCUUCAAAGGAAUAGCUUCAACCCACUUAGUGAAAUAGUCAGUGGCAACUAGAAUGAACUUAUGCCCUUUGCUAGAUGGUGGAUAAAUCUGGCCGAUCAGAUUGAUGGCCCAUCCCCGGAACGGCCAAGGCUUUAUUAUAGGAUUCAUAGCCGAUGCGGGUGCUCUCUGGAUAUUACCAAACUUUUGACAACCUUGACAUCCCUUGAAAUAUUUAAAACAAUCUUCAAGUAUGGUUGGCCAAAAAUAUCCAUUCCUUCGAAUCAUCCACUUCAUCUUAAAAGCUGACUGAUGCGCUCCACACACUCCUUCAUGGAUUUCCCCCAUCAAACUUCUAGCUUCAUCAUCACCCAAGCAUCGGAGAAGAAUUCCGUCGAUAGUUCGAUAAUACAAUUCAUUUUCAAGGAGCACAUACUUGGUUGCUUGAAAUCGAACCCGUCUUUCAACUUUUUUGGAUGGAUCUUUUAGAUAAUCAAUAAUUUCUUUCCUCCAAUCACCGGCACCGACUGCCGAUGUCGCAUUAAUCAUUGGCUGAUAUCCCGAGGCAUGCUGAGCUAACCGAUUAGCGUCUUCAUUAUGCAAUCGGGGAACAUGCUCCAAUCGGAAAUCCUUGAAUUCCUUUAACAGUUGCAUACUUCUCUCGAAAUAAGUUAUGAGAACUUCACUUCGGCAUUCAUAGCUUCCGGCCAGUUGAUUUAUAACCAACAUAGAAUCCCCGAAUAUUUCAACAGCAUCAGCACGAACUUCUCUUAACAACUCCAAUCCCUUGAUCAGAGCCUGAUACUCAGCCUGAUUAUUUGUUGAUGUGGCAACAAUCGGCAAGGAAAACUCAUACUUCCUCCCCUUAGGGGAAACUAAUACAAUGCCGAUUCCUGCCCCCCGGUCACAGGUAGAUCCAUCAAAGAAGAGCGUCCAGGGUACAAUUUCCAAGGUUUCCACUAGACCGCAAUGCUGAGUCACAAAAUCGGCCAUAAUCUGCCCUUUGACUGCCUUAGCCGAUUCGUAACGCAAAUCGAACUCCGACAGCGCUAAAAUCCAUUUACCGAUCCUACCACUCAUAAUCGGCAUAGACAGCAUGUAUCGGACCACGUCAUCUUUGCAAACAACAGUGCAUUCGGCCGAUAACAGGUAAUGUCUCAGCUUGAUACAUGAAAAAUAUAAGCAUAAGCAUAGUUUCUCAAUGGCCGAAUACCUGGUUUCAGCAUCAAUCAACCUCCUACUCAAAUAAUAAAUUACCCUUUCUUUCCCUUCAAAUUCUUGAACUAAAGCUGAACCGAUAACCGAUCCAUCGGUAGAUAAAUACAAUUUGAAGGGCUUCCCUUGUUGAGGUGGAACUAGAACUGGAGGAUUUACUAGAUACUUCUUGAUUUCAUCCAGAGCCAACUGCUGUUCUUCUCCCCAAAUAAACUCUUGAUCGGCUUUCAAUUUAAGAAGAGGACUGAAAGCACGAAUCCUACCAGACAAAUUCGAUAUAAAUCUCCUGAUAAAAUUUACCUUGCCGAUCAAGGAUUGGAGCUCGGUUUUGUUGGUAGGGGCCACUAUUUUAUUGAUGGCAUCAAUAGAUCUUCGACUAAUUUCAAUACCCCUCUGAUGUACCAUGAAACCAAGAAACUGCCCUGCCGAUACACCAAAUGCACACUUGUUGGGAUUCAUCUUCAAUCCAUGCUUCCUUGUGCACUCUAACACUUUUUGUAAAUCGGCAAGAUGCUUUGAGAAAUCUCCAGAGUUAACCACCACAUCAUCAAUAUAAAUCUCCACGAGCUUGCCGAUGAACUCAUGAAAUAUAAAAUUCAUAGCCCUUUGAUAGGUAGCACCAGCAUUCUUCAACCCAAAAGUCAUGACUAUCCAUUCAAAUAGCCCAACAUGACCAGGACACCUGAAUGCGGUUUUUGGAAUAUCCUCCUCCGCCAUGAAUAUUUGAUUGUAACCUGCAUUACCAUCCAUGAAGCUGAUGACCUGAUGACCAGCCGCAGCAUCAACCAGUAGAUCGGCGACAGGCAUUGGGUAUCCAUCCAUCGGCGUAGCUUUAUUGAGAUUCCUGAAAUCAAUGCACACCCGAAGCUUCCCGUUCUUCUUGUAAACCGGAACAACAUUGGAAAUCCACUCGGCAUACCGACACUGCCGAAUAAACUUAGCUUCAAUAAGUUUGGUGAUUUUGGCCUUAAUACCAGGUAGAAUGUUAGGAUUACAUCGGCGGGCUGGUUGCUGAUGUGGCCGAAAUCCAAACUUGAUGGGUAACCGAUGUUCAACAAUUGAUCGGUCUAAACCAGGCAUCUCGGUAUAAUCCCAAGCAAAGCAAUCUUUAUAUUCCUUUAACAAACUAGUCAAUUGUUGCUUACUCUCAUGAUCUAAUUUAGCACUAAUAAAAGUAGGCCUAGGCUUAUCACCACUACCUAUAUCUACUUCUACCAAAUCAUCGGCCGAUGUGAAUCCCUGGCCUAAUUUUCCAUCAUCGGCGAAUCUAUCCAUUAAAAACCGUCGUCAGAACCGACUGCUUGGAUCGGUGGAAUCUCAUAAUCGGCAACUUUGAGAAAAUCUUUCUCCCAAACUUCUCCUGAAAUGCACCUGGUCCUUUCGUAAGUAUCCGCUUCUGCCGAUGCGAUAACAUAAGAAGAAUCUCCUGGGACAAUCUCAAUCUUGUCACCUACCCACUGAACCAAGCAUUGAUGCAUUGUAGAUGGGAUACAACAAUUGGCAUGAAUCCAAUCUCUUCCCAAUAAUAAGUUGUAAGCACCUUUUCCGCUGAUCACGAAAAAAGUUGUCGGCAAGGUUUUGCUGCCGAUGGUCAACUCUGCACAUAUCGCCCCCUUGACUGGAGACACGUUUCCUUCAAAGUCUUUGAGCAUCAUAUCGGUCUUGGUCAAAUCUUGAUCCCCUUUCCCAAGCUUCCGAUAUACUGCAUACGGCAUAAUAUUAAUAGCAGCUCCACCAUCAACUAGGAUCUUGGUCAUUGGCUGCCCAUCAACCCUUCCUUUGAGGAACAGAGCUUUAAGAUGCUGCCUCUCGUCAUCGGCAGGUUUCUCAAAGAUAGCCGUCAUCGGAUCCAGAGCCAACUGAGCUAUCUGAUCAGAAAAUUCCAACUCAUCAUCACUGGCUGGUGCAAGAAACUCCAUCGGCAACAUGAAGACCAUGUUGACGCCUGCCGAUGGACCUUCCCUCUUAGUGUCUGACGGCUGCCGACUUCCAGAGUUCUCUCCCUUGUUUAGCUCUUCUUGCCUUUCACGUUGCAAUCUCCUUUUCUGUGUCUUGGUUAAUCCUCCAGGGCACCAUGGAGGAAGUGGCCUUUGCCUUGCCGUCGGGCGUCGGUUCUCCCUUGACUCCAUACGAUGCGUGUUAGCAUCCCUGCAAAAUAUGAAUUCAUCGGGAACCCGCGCAUCAGCCAUUUCCUCGAGCUCUUCUUGGUUCCUGGGAAAAUACUGGACACGGUCACUAAGUCUGUCGUGCCCACUAAAUCUGCCCCCCAGCCAGUCAUGAACUGACACCCUUCCUCUGAUCGGCCCAUUAAAUCGCCGUUCAUCAUCAUGAUAAUGCCGAUCGAUCCCAUCGUACCGAUCAUAACCGUUGCACUCAGGGCAGUCUCUGACAGUAGGAAGCUUGAUAUUUUCCUCCCAACAAUGGAUGAAGAAUGGACAAUUCCAAUGAUCCCUGUGCCGAUUCCACUCCUGUCGGCGUCUUUCUUCUUCCCGUCGAUAAUCUUCCUGCUGGCGCCGAUACCGAUCUUCCCGUUGUUGCCAUUUUUCUCGAGGCCUUCUAUGAGUUAUGACGAUACCAGAUCGAGGAGGCCUUCCUGAGCUAGUUCCUUCCUGGACCAAGCCCUUACUUCUUGCAUCGGCAGUAGUAACUUGAUGCUGAGGAUCUACCGAUGCACUCUUCUCAGCUGUCUACGAUGUUAAGACCUUAGCCUUCCCCUUAGCAUCCAACAUGUUUGUCGGGAAAGGAUGUUGGUCUAUCUUCAUCGGCUUCUGGGCUUUGGAACUGUCAAACUUGAUUCUCCCUGACUCUAUAGCCGAUUGCAGCUGCUGUCUGAAUACUUUGCACUCGUUGGUGUCAUGGGAAGUUGCAUUAUGCCACUUGCAAUAUCUCAUCCUCUUCAACUCUUCUGCCGAUGGGAUCACAUGGUUAGGCGACAGUUUGAUCUGACCUUCCUGAAGUAGAAAGUCAAAUAUCCUAUCAGCCUUAGCGGUGUCAAAAGCAAACUUCUCUGGUUCCUUCUGCCCAAAAGGACAAGACAUCGGCUUCUUGUUUUUUACCCACUCUGCCAAGCCGAUUACUAGUUCUUCAUCAGAAUCUGAGCUUGUUGCUUCAUCGACAAAUGACACUUUCCUAUUCCAUGCUCUUUUAGGCUCGAAAGGCUUGAUGUCUUGAUCAGAAAUCCUCUGCACCAAAUGACUUAAACUUUCGAACUCCUGAGAGGCAUACUUAUCCCUGAUAUGUGGCAACAAACCCUGGAAAGCCAAAUUGGCUAGCUGCCGAUCAUCCAGAACCAAGCUAUAGCAUUUAUUCUUGACCUCUCGUAUCCUCUGCACAAAACCCUCAACCGACUCAUCAUUACGUUGCCUCAACUUGACCAAGUUGGUGAUCUUCUUCUCAUGAACCCCCGAGAAGAAGUAUUUGUGGAAUUGCUUCUCUAGAUCGGCCCAAGUAAUUACUGAGUUGGGAGGUAAUGAUAUGAACCAAGUAAAGGCCGAUCCAGACAAUGAUGAUGAAAAUAGACGAACCCUCAAUUCGUCCCUGUUACCAGCCUCUCCACAUUGAAUGAUGAACCUGUUGACAUGCUCCAUGGUUUACGUGUCGUCCUGCCCGGAAAACUUUGUAAAAUCCGAUACCUUGUACCGAUGUGGAAGCGGGAUCAAAUCAUACGCGGGAGGAUACGGUGUCCGAUAAGAAUAAGUGUUGACUUUGGGUUUUAUCCCAAAUUGUUCCCUCAUUACUUCAGCAAUCUUAUCGGCCCAAUAUGCAUCGGCAUCUUGCCGAUGAGGCGGCUGCGGAUCUGGCACUUGGUGGCGAACCUCCACGUGUCUGUUCGGGACGUGAUCUGCACGGAACAUUGUAUUGAUCACCUGUCCUCCAAUCUGCGGACCACCAAACUGUUGUCCACCGAUUGGCUGUCCUCCGAGCUGUUGUCCAAAAUUCAUUGGCUGGUUGGGAAUCUCCUGACCUUGGAACCCGGGAUAGACCUGCCCUUGCUGGAACCCUGUAGUCUGGUAACUUUGCUGGGGCGAUUGUGGAAAGGCUUGCUGUCCAAGCCAUCCAUUAUUAGCGUUCAUCGGCAUAGGUGCUGCCGAUGAUUGGUAAUUGGGUACCGUCGUUGAAUUGACAUACCCCGACUGGGCCAAAGACCUCUGUUGCAUCAGCAUUGACUCUGCCGAUGCGUUGGGCAUCUGGAACAUUGAAUCUUGAGGAUUUCCAGUGUGAGGCCUUGCAGUAGUAGUUGUGGUAUACCGAGGACUCUGGUUCACCGGCGCAUUGGGAGGUGCCGAUGUCAUAGGAGUUUUGCCCCUCAUGUCAGUUAUUUGUGAUGUUCCCGGUGUCAACUCUGGAGGCAUACCGUAACCCCACCAGUUGGGAGGAAGAGUCAACCCUGACAUUGCCGAUGCCAACAUAUCUGUUGUCAGUUUAUGCUGCCCAACUGAAAUUUGUGGGUUGGUUGUCAUCGGCAUAGAUAGUGCACCAGUAGUCCCCGAUGUACUUGGAGGGACGGCAGAUUGUGCACUUGCAGUCGUCAAGGCAGCCGAUGGAGCCGUGACCUCUGGUGCCGUUGUCUGAUGAUGGGAGGGGCCCACAUAAUCUGGUGGGAUUUGUCCUUCCUUGAAAGUUCUUGCCACGGCAUUGAAAACCGUAUUAGACAGUACACCAGCUUGGUUAAUCAACGCUCGAUUGAUGGCAUUGUCAACCAUAUCUUGAAGCUUGCCAGGAUUGGCGUCAAAGGUAACCUGCCGUGGUGCCGGCAGUGCAUCUUUCUGGACCACUUCGCUGCUCCUGUUUAUGCUGAAAGACCUCAGGCAUUGCUGCUUGAACUCUUCCAUGGCUUGGGCAAUAGCUUGCUUCUGCUCAUCCUUGAGGUUGGCCUCCGUCACGGGGAUGACGUUCUCUUGAUCGAGGUCAGAGAUCGACAUGUUGAUCUUGAUCUUGAAUCCUGUCCCACUGGGCGUGCCAAAAGAUGUGUUGAUGCAAAACUGAUCUGCAAACACAAAGGGCUAAUACCCGAUUCAAACGUUAAGGCGUGCCAGCCGAUUUGACCUUGCUAUCGGCAAAGGUGAUAACUCGAAUACUUUAGUCCUGACAACAGCGAUGCGCCCGGAUGUCACGGCUAAGAGGUACUCACGCGGAACUUGAGAACACGCCGAGCUUAAGUCGACGAAUUCCUAAGAACUCGUAACAAAAGGAAAAAGUAUGACGAAGUCGUCGAAAAGUAAAUGCUGGAAUAUGAGUAAAAACGUGUGUUUGAUUCAUUGAUUGAUUUUUUAUUACAAGGCCCUAGGAUCUAUAUUUAUACCCUGCUCAAAGAGCUACAACCAGACACGAUUAGAAUUCGAAUUCCAAAUUACACGGAAUCCGUAUACAAAACGAUGCAAAUAAUUAAGGAAAUAACAAAACUAUCCCUCGUGACAAACCGAAACUCCUCCACAUAACGACCGGCAGCUUCCGGACUCCCUCUUUGCAUCAUCGGCAGACCCUUUGCCAUAGUCAUCGGCAGACUUUCUUAUCUAGCCAUCGGUACCAUAUUACUGCCUGUGGACUUAGUCACGUUCAACUUCUCCCUCAUCGGCAACCAUCCUCAUCGGCAACCCACUUUGUAAACAUCGUACUGCCACCUUAUCCUGCCAUCCUAGACACGUGCCCAAAAACGGUGUCAACAGAUUGGAUCGAUAGUAGGAGUGUGAAUGAAAUCCUUGUUCUUCAAUUGCUGAUAGACUUCCUUCUCUCUUCGGGUCUUCAGUCCAAGGUCUGCUAUCUUGAGAAGGACCUUGACUUGCUGACCUGAUGAAGAUGAUGGAGCUUGUGUGGGUGUCGGGUCGACGCUCAUCUCUGAUGGCUGUGAGGAGUGUCGGGUUGAACUCCUUGUACCAAUGUUCUUAAGAGCCUUCCCUGCAUUCUUCACCUUCUUAAACAUCCUGCAAACAAAAGUUGGCAAAAACACAACUGGUGGAAAAUGUGCGAUAAAAUGUUAGUGGUCAGCUGUCCGGAGUGUUAGUAGUCCAGGGGUUAAUCUUUCAAGUCAAGUUUUUAUUUUGGUAGACCCUUCCCCUAAACAACUUUUACUUCCGCUUGGACAGCGGGAUCACUAUUUGCUAGGUGACAAUCACUUUCUCAAAAGAACUCCAACCUUCCCUUCCACUCUCCUCUUUCUCUCUACUCUCUUCUCUUCACUACAAAAGCUCCUUCUCGGGAAACUGAGAUUUGUGUUGUUUUCUGAAGUGUGUGUGUGAAGAGAAGGGGAGCUGGAGGUGGCCUUUUAUAAGCUGAGCAGGGGACAGGGCGGGCGCCCUUGGUAGGUGGGCGGGCGCCCACUUGUGAUGCCCAUCCUGGGUGUGCCUCCUCCACUUGCUUCCUUGCUUUGAUCUCACGCAGAAUAAUGUUGUGUUGGUAGUGGUUGGACGGUGGAAAGAUGUCAGGUGAGUGGAAACAUAUUGGUGGAUGAAAUUAUAUGAUGGGAUGUAUGUGAGAUGAAGUGUAUGACAUGUGGGACCCAAAGAGUGUGGGUCAUGCUUCUAGAAGAUUUAUAUGAUUAAAUAUAAUGUAGGAAAAUCUAUGAGAAUCGAAACUUAUUGAAAAUGAUAUUGGAAAAUAUUUUUGUGCCCCCACAAUAAUUAAUAAAUAUGGGUUGUUACACACCACGAAUAUUAUUUAUCUGGGGCUUUUUUGAUUAUUAUAAUAAUGCUAUGAAUAAAUGUGACUAAUGCAAGAUUUAAUUAUGCAAGAAAUUAAAAAAAUAAUAAUGCGGAUAAAUACCGAUUUACCUCCCGGUGAGGGUUUGGGAUUUUUAGGUCCCCCAAGCUGGACCUCCAAUUCUUUUAAUCUUUUGAGUUUCCUUCCUCCGGAGAUGGUGUCUCCAGUGGUUCUUCGUGAACUUCCUUCACUGUAGAGUCUCUCUCUAAUCUGGGUUUGAAUGUGAAGUGUUCUUCUUGACCGUUUAUGUUGAACUUGAUUUUUCCCUUCCCGACAUCAAUGUGGGCAUUGGCAGUGCUCAGAAAUGGCCUUCCAAGGAUGAUGGAUACUUUCGAGUCAGGACUCAUGUCCAGUACUACGAAGUCUACUGGCACAAGGAAAUCUCUGAUCUUGACUGGAAUGUUCUCGGCGAUGCCCAACGGGUGUCGAACCGAUUGAUCCGCUAGUUGUAGGCACAUUGAUGUUGGUUCUAAGGUUGCAUGCUCAAGCUUUUUGUAGACUGAUGCUGGCAUCACACUGACACUUGCUCCGAGAUCACAAAGUGCAUUGUUGAAGUGUUGGUUUCCGAUCGAGCAAUCAUCCGACUGCAGUCCUCUGUUUCUUUUGGGAAAUGGCAAAUAGUUGGUGUCGUAAAAAUCUUUCCUCAUUUCUCUAGUUCUUGGUGGUUGUGGCAGAUCUUCUGCUUCAACUGGGCUUUCUUCUUCUAUCACUGCUGGUUGCACUGGUGCUGAUGUUCUUUGUUUCUCUUUUGGGUAUGGUGGAUCUCUAGUAGCUUUACCUCCUCUAGUAGUUAUAUUCUUUACCUGCUCAAUGUUAGUAGCAACAGGUAGUGCAGCAGCUAACUUUAUUAAUUUAAGCUCUACCCUUUUAUUAAGAGUGUUUUGCUAAUCAAAGGCAGUUAGUAGAAAAUCCAUUUUAUUGUGUAUAUCUUUUAGAGAUGAUUCAUUUGUAUCUAGCCUUUGUUUAACUUCAUCAUUAAUUUUGGUUUGUUGAGCAAUUAUCUCUUUUAAUGAAAGUUGCUUGAAAGUAUUACCUGAAUUCAUACCUUUGCUAUUGGGUUUACUCGAAGUUGGUUGAUAUUUGUAUGCUGUCUCAAUGGCCCUUUGAUCUUCUUUGAACUUGGCCCUCUGGUCAAUCCAAUGGAGCAAAUUUUCCAUCUUACUCGAUAACGCAUUUACUUCUUCUGGUAUUUCUUCAGUUUGAUGACAUUGUUGAGCUUUAUCUUGGAACCAGCUUUGGUUUUCUACUAUCUUAUCCAAAAGUAUCUCUGCUUUUCCAGUUGUAAGCUCCAAGAAUGAUCCUUUAGCAGAUGCAUCUAGGCACUCACGAGCCUUCUGGGUUAAUCCAUGGUAGAAGGUCUGCAUAAGUAACCAUGUGGCCAUUCCAUGGUGAGGACAAUCUGAUAUGUAUCCUUGAAAACGCUCCCAUGCUUCGGAAAUGGCUUCUGUCUUCUGCUGUUGGAAACUGACAAUAUUUCCUCUUAAGGCAGUUGUUUUGCCUAUAGGGAAAAACUUUGAUAGAAAGGCAUCUGACAAGUUCGUCCAGUUGUUGAUGUUAUCUUGAUGAGUGUAGAACCACUUCCUCGCUUUCCCUUCUAGUGAGAAUGGAAAAAGGCGAAGUAGUAUGACGUCUUUGUCAACUUCGUUGAUGUGGAUUGUGCUUCCAAUCUCUAAGAAAUUCUGCAAGUGUGCACUGGCAUCUUCAUGUGCCUUUCCACUGAAUUGUGUAGCUUGCACCAAAUUGAUGAGGCUUGACUUGAGCUCAAACUCAGGUAUUCCUUCUUCUACUGCAAAUCUUGGACCAGUUGGAAUGUUCUCAAGGCUUGGAGCAGAGAAUUCUUGCAAGGUCUUUUGUGCCAUAGCUUCAGCAAUUGGUAGCUAGCUUCUUCUUCUCUUGAUUGCUUUGGUUCUGAUGAUGGAGAGUUGAAUGUACCCAAAGUCAAUCCUGUUAUACCCUGUAUAAAAAUAUAAACAUAGAAAAACAACAGGGUGAACCUGCCAAAGCAGCGGUGCCUUGUUAUGAUUUCUCACUUAGUAGCUGUUUUAUGCAAUUAUUUCUCUAUAGUCUAGUCUAAUAUUUUAUAUGAAUAACCUUGAUUGAUUUUCUAGCUUUCCUUAAUAUUAUCCUUUUGUUCCCUUUUAUGACUUAUUCCUGAGACUCGUAUAAUUCCUAUAAGAUCCUAUAAAUUCCUAUAAUUCCCCGGCAACAGCGCCAGAAAUGCUUGUUGACACUAGCUAACACCACUUAGAUACUAGGUUGUCAUCCCUAGCAUGGCGCCAGAGUGUACAAAGGUAUUUAUAAAUGUAAAGGCUCUCUGGAAAAUAAUCUAUUCUAUGCGCAAGCGCAUAGAUAAAACACCUCAUUGUAGCAUUUCACUAGGAUAAGUAUUCCAGGUAUCGUUAUUUAUAAUUUUGCUCAAGGGAUCUAAAGAAGAUGGAAUUAAAUCAAGGGACAAAAUCUAUCAAGGCAUAGACUAGAGAUAAACUUGCAAGAACAUGAUUACUAAUGAGAAACUCGUCACACAGUCACUUACUGUAGCAGGGGGUAAACCAUAAAGAUAAUGAUAAUAAAGUAUAAGUUCAUGGGUAGAUAGCACAGCGAUUAGAAAAUAGACUACUCCUCAUAUAUGUAGGUGAUGUCGGAUUAGCUAGAGAAUGGAUUCUAAGUUAUCUACUAACUACUAAGUCAUAAUCUACUCUAGUUAUCUACAAGAUCAUACAUAGCAUAAAAGACUCUUCAUUCAUGUAUAAGGAACAUUGAUAAAGUAAAUCAGAGCAUCGCAUGACUUACUCCACAAUACCGGUUCUGCCUGUCCUAUCAACGGAGGGUGGACUAUAUAAGAAUCAACGAAGCUGUCACUAUCGCGAACUACCACACGACCCGGCCAAUAGGAUACAUUUGCCGAUAAAUAACAUCUAAGCACCACGCUCACAUGUGAUCUAUCACCUAACUCCCUCGCGUCAAGAGCUAAGCGCUUUGCAAACUUAUACAUAAACUCAUUAUCAAUUAGAACUAUAUCAAAUAUAGAACUAGAGCAAACUAAGAACAUAAUAAUUAGAGACAUAAUGCAAUUAGAACAAUAGAAUUAGAGAAAGAUAUGAAUAAUACCAAUCUUUAUUACCGAAGAUCCGAAUCCAGAGCGUAGGUGCUCUACUUCUCUAAUUGCUAUCUAAUCAAACCUCUAAACUUGAAGGAUUAGGGAGUAGCUAAUUCUAAUUCUCUGUGGGAGAGAAGCUCUAAACCCUAACUUUGAUGGCUACCUCUGAAUAAUGAUUUCUCCUCUCUCCUCCAGGGGCCAGGGGGUCUCGUUUUAUAGUCCCCUCAAGUAAACGUGAGCCAUUGGAUCAAACCGACAUAGAUUGUAUGGUUUAGAUUGAUCCUUUAGGUCGGUGGAGAGUUGUCCCGAAGCAGAGUCCUGGUUGGCUUCCUGGCCAGGGCGGGCGCCCAAGGGGGGUGGGCGGCCGCCCAGCUCCCGAGCCCGAAUCGCGUCCCGUUCGUUCCCUUGGCUUCUGGAUCCUUCUAGAUUGAGGAAAAUUGUGCGGUACGUAAUUAUCUCGUUGUAAACAUGACAUGUGGGCCUUCUCUCUCUAUUUUCUGAUAAACCCCUGCAGAAAUAGAUAAACACCAAAACUCGUGGAAUUCUGUCAGAUAAAACCCUAAUUCUAGAUGUUUGUUUUAUAUUGAUCCUUUUUCAUGUUUAUUUGAUUAUUAAUUUUAGUACUUAAGGACCGUCAACAAUAGCAUAAUCAUCAAGUAUCAUAAUUAUGGAUAAUCAUCAGAGCAUCUACUAGUCAUAAUCAAAGUUAGCCAUUGGAUAAACUAGGGAGUUAGAUCUAAGGUAAUUCUAUAACUACAUCAAUGAGUAAAUUUAAUUAGUGCAAUUACAUCUAGAAAUCAUUGUUAAGUUAACCCUACAUCAUAAUCACAUAUAAAGAGGCAUCAACUAAUGAGGGUAUUAAGACACUAGGGUCACCUCCUUUGCGACUGUGCCCAUGCUAGUCCUACGUACGGAGAGUGGACUAUAGAGGAACCAACGCAGCUAUCACCUGCGCGGACUACGACACGUCCCGACAUGUCACGGUGCACUCGUAGAUAAACAAUAUAUCUAGACACCAUGUCUACAUAUUGUCUACCAUCUACCCAACGAUCGAUUAGGUAAACAUUAUAUGAGCAAUUACAUUAAUUCAAUAAGAUCAAACAAACUAUCCUAGACAUAUAAUCAAACUAGACAAAAACGAUUGCAAUUAAGAAUAUAUGAAUCUAUUAAGAGUAAAGUCUCCCUAAUAUAUAUAAUGAAUACAAUAAAGUAAGAACUAGAUCUAUUACCGAACUCUUGUGCUCCAAACCGACGCUAGGGCUCCAGAUCCUGAUGAAGAACUAGAUCUCCUCUACUUCUAAUCUAGCUAACUAGAACUAUGAACUAGAAGGCUCUUGAUAAACUAGAAGGCUCUUGAUGCUUGAUGGCUUGAGGCCUUGAUGAAUAAUGAAUUGCCUCCUCCUAGGAGGGUCUACCCAUGUAUUUAUAGUCCAAUGGGAUGCACGUGCGCCACAGGAUCAAACCGACGUAACCAAGAGCUGAGAUGCAUCAAGAGACGUGGUGGAGGAACAUUCCAGAAGGGGGGCCGCAACCCUAAGCCUAGGGCGUCGCCCAGCCCCACGUGGCGGCGCCCUGGCCCUAUAUUGCUUCGAGUGUCUUCUAGAUGGUUCCUGAGUUUUCCCGUGAUGUUUCUCAGAGAGGAUAAGUUUCGUGUUUAUCUUGCACUUGAAUCUCUCUUUUCAGCUUUUCUGAAAUAAACCCUGGAAAAUACAGAAUAUGCAAAACUCAUGGAAAUCGUUAGUUAAAACCCUAGACUAGUGUGUUUUCAUGUUUUCUUUUGGGUUUAAUUUUCUAAUAAAUUUGACGUUAACCACCAUCAACAAUUUCCCCAAGCUUACCUUUUGCCAGCCCCUUGGCAAACAAACUAAGCCUAAUUGUUAUUGUAUUUGGAUUAGGAGUUUUUACAAUAUUAUUAUACUUUCAAGUACACAUGCUCUCAAACAAGAAUUUCCUCCGGAUCAAACGAUGUAUGCUCUAACCUUCAAACUUACUCAUUUCACCUGUAAUAUGCGGCUUCACAGCUUUUGCUUAAGUGUUGAGCAGUCGAAAGAUAGAACAAUCAAGCUAAGUACUAUGUCUCAAAUUCUUUGCUAUACCACUAUUCUAGAGUUUUUCAUAAGGUUUCAAAAUAAAACUCACAGCUUAAUUGUAUGACACCCUCAAGUCUCUCAAUGUAUAACAUUAAUGAGGACCGUCAACAAACUCCCCCAAGCUUACCUCUUGCUCGUCCCUGAGCAAGGAUAGACUCAGCAAUGGAUCAGAAGUUGUUGCAAUAUCUUAAAAAUUUGACGGUACACAUGCUUUUAAAUAAGACCUCAUCUCUGAGUUAGAGUAAACUGUCAAGAACUAAAACUUACUUACUUUACCUUUCACCAUGGGACUUGUAAACGUCACUUCUGUCUUGAGUAGUUAAAAGAUAAAAGAGUCUAGCCAAGUGCCAUGUCUCUUAUUCUUGAUCAGCUAUAGCUCUGGAGUUUUUGCAGAUUUUCAAAUAAAACUCAGAGAUUCCUUGUAUGACUCUCUAAAUCUCUCUUUUGUGGUAUUUCUGGAUCCUUACCAAGGCAGUGAUGGUAUAUGCCUUCUCUCAAGAUAUGUGGUAUUUGUGGUAUAAGGCAUAGUGACAUUGCCUUCUCUCUCACCCUAUUUUAAUAAGGCUUUAAUAUCUGGAGCUCAUAGGUGGGAGACAGCUAAUACAUACUUAGAAGACAUUUAUUGCAUAGUCAAACCAUGGAUCUAGAGAAACAAGUCAAUAAGUCAAAUCAAGAUGUGCAUGUGUGGCGAAUGAAUGGUGUAUGGUGAUGAUGGUGAUAACAAUGGUGGAAGUCUAAUUCUACUUUUGCUCUUUUGAGGGGAUACAUACCUUCCUUGCUUUUUGAAACUUUAUGAGGAGAAUGAGAUGCUCUAUCUUUCAUUUUAUUCUUUCCUCUCAGGUGGGUAUCCUGUACCCCUAAUUCUACUGUCGGACACUUGUCCAUUUUUACCUCUCGUCUCACUCUUUUUCUUUUCUUUCGAGGUUCCGGGCACUUGCCCCUUUUUAUUUCCUCAUAUAUUUUUUUUUCUUUUUUUUAGAGCACUCAUCUCAUGAGACAAUAUAGCAAGUGGUAGUAGCAAGAUAACUUGAGCAUAUAUUUCACAAGGGAAAACAGAAAUAUUUUUGGUUAUUCUCUCCCGGAUUAGGAGUAGAAUAUUUUUGGGUGGUUCUGGAGAUGGAAAUGAGUGGAUAUAUGUGGAUGGUACUUCCGGAGUAGAAGUAGCAUAUAUGAGUGAAUGUGCAAGUGAAACCUUGAUUUAAUCACAUGACAAGCUCCUAAGGGUCUACACAGCUUGACCACACUCAAUGCUCAUAAGCAGUAAAUAGUAAAUGUGUGGCUCAAAGUCUAGCAAGCAUGUAUAUAUGGCUGUGGUAGGAAUUUAAACUUUCAUCAUAUAGGAACUCAUCAUGCAAUAUUUUAAAGAUUUUUCAAAGAUAAAAUCCUCCAGAAUUCUAGCAUCUCUAGGAACAGAUAAACAGCAGCUCAACCUUCCCAUAUCAUAUCUGUUAACAACUUAGAUUUCAGGUCAAGUUUUCAUUCCACAAGUUUAGAUCUAGAGCAAGCUUUAAAUUAUAACAGUUAUGUCUAAACUUGAGAGAGAACUUCAAAUUUGCAAAUUAGGCAGAGCAACUAUUCAUCAUAUCCAUGCUAGAGUUUUAUUAUUAAGAUUCAGAUUAGCAUAGCCACUUUAUUCAUUUAUUAAACACACUAAGCAAAAGAUAUAUAUAUAAGCACAAAAUCUUUAUUUGGUUCAUAGUUUAUGUAUUUUAAUAUUCUAAUAUAAUAUAAGUAUAA
rnacentral:lncRNA from 1 species